UUUCAAUUAAGAUUUUCUUUCUCUUAAACAUUACACAUAAAAUUGCAGAAUUGAGUAACGAACCUGCAAAUUCAAACCAAAUUCUUGGAUAUUGCUCCCUUUCAUAUUCAGAAAUACAAGUUUAUCAGAUGGAAAAUUUGAUGGUAUACAUUUUUAAAGGACAUCCUUUCCAAGACAGCCAUCUGAGCUCCUUGGACAAUAGCUCAAAAUCUCCACUAAUACGUAAGUCGUCGAUUUUAAGCACCCUAAGAUUUAUCAUUUUCUGAAAUGCUUUGGUGUUCAGCUUCACACCCUUUAAUGCAUGUCGUUCUACCACCAAUAUUUCUACAUUUUCAGAACCCUACAGUUUAGUAAGAAGAAAAGUACUAUAAGACCAUGUUAAGUAUGAUAAAUUAAGAAAGAGAAAUGCUUUAUACAAAUUGAAGGUCAAACAAAGAGAAUAAAUUAUGUACCAAUAAAAAUAAAUUUACACAUUAUAUCCAACUAAAGGAUAUUUAUUUGAUAAUUUUGUCUUUGAUAGUUUGUUUAGACUUCAGUAAAUGUUCAUUUCAAGUACAGAAUGGUUCAAACGUCUAAAGAUACUUACUAGCCGGAGAAGAUUUAAGCACAAAUGCAUAAAUUAUAAGCAAAUGUAUAUCAAUAUAAAAGAAAAAAAGAAGAAGAAGUAUAACCAAGAUAAAGAUAAUGAAAUUUACUGACUUUAUUUCCUUGUAGAACAUCAAUGACUUCUUGAGGGUUGAACAAUCUACUCCGUUUUCCAGGGUCUUGAGAUUCCAUGCGAACGAUUUCUCUUCCCAUUUCCUGCACUAGAUCAUGCAUCACCAAACUAUGCCGAUCCCUUUGGAGCAAGUUCCUUUGGACUAAGGUUGAAAUUGCACUUUCAGAAUAAAAACCACACGCAUUUAAUGUUUUGGUAACUUCAUCCUCAUACCAACCAUGGAAGGCACAUGCGAUAUCAAGGAAAACACUCUGAGUAUUGACAUCAAGUCCAUCAAAGCUUAUCUUGAGAAUCUUUUGAAUACCACCAUGAGGAAUUGCUUUUAGUUUUUUGAACUCGUAUCUCCAUUCUUUAACGGAUCUCCCUUGCAGAUGCGACCCCAAUGUCACAAGAGCUAAUGGUAGCCCGCAUGAAUAUUUUAUUAUGUCUUGUGCCAGAUCAACAUAUUCUUGUGGUGGAGAAAAACAGUUAAAAGCAUGACAAGAAAAAAGUUGUUGUGCUUCAUUGUCAUUUAAAAGUUUGGCCUGGUAUAGCUCACUUGUUGUAAGCCCAUAUAGCAAAUGCCCAUCUCGGGUUGUAAUAAUUACUACACUACCAAAGCCAAACCAACUUCUUUCUCUUGUUAAGGAUUCUAAUUGGCCUCUAUGAUCCACGUCAUCAAGAACAAUUAGAACCUUCUGAGACCCAAGUCUUGCUUUGAUGAGAUUAACACCUUCAGCAACACUAUCAACUUCAAAUUCCUUAGUUUUGAGGAUUUGAUUAAGUAGUUUCUCUUGAAGCUUGACUAGACCCGAUUCAUCGGUUUUUGAUCUAAUGUCAGAAAGGAAGCAACUACCAUCAAACUGUUGAAAUAUUUGAUUAUAGAUAGCUUUUGCCAAAGUUGUUUUUCCAAUUCCACCAACUCCACAUAUACCAACCAUGCGAACUUCAUGCUCACAUCCACUUUGCAGUAACACCUCUAUAUGUUUGAUAGGAGAAUCUAAUCCAAUUGGGUAAUGAGCAACAUCUAGAGGUGUCUGGUUAACCUCUUGCAGAACUUGUUUUAUAAUACUCUCAAUAAACUUUGAUUCAUGCCUACAGUUUUUGGAACAAUAAAUACUUGAGUAUUUUAAAAUAUUUGAUGAACAAAAUAAAAAUCAAUAGCCAAAAGAUAACAGAGUUUAUAGAAUGGAGAAUAUAUUCCUUGUCCCUAUCUAUAUAAAACAGUUUGAUUUGACAUAGAAUUUAAAAACUAUAGAAAUAUUUUGAAAUUUUCCAUAAUUAACCAACUUAUAAGAUUAGGCAAACGCUUAAAUUCAAAAUCUUAUAGUUGAAUUAAGAAGUCUUACCCAUCAGCAAUAUUUCUCAAAUUCCAUCCAGAUAAAUUUGCUGCUUCAGUAAGUGCAGCUUUCCACUUUUCCAUUCUUUCAGCUCCAACCAAUCGUUCCUUGUGUUUUCCAAAGCUUCGUCAAAGGAUCCAGUUUGCCUUCGCACUUGAGAAGGAUCAACAUCAUAGAAAAUAGGCAAAACUACCUGAUUUUAACCUCUCUUUGCAAUCGAGAAUUUUGACAAGUUCAUCAAGACACCAACUAGACGAAGCAUAAUUUUUGGAGAAAACAACAAUGGCAAUUCUAGAUUGUUCAAUUGCUUUGUCAAGUUUGUUUGAAAUGACGUCUCCCUUUCUCAAUUCCUCAUCAUCUAUGAAAGUAUUAACUCCGACUUGACACAAUCGAAAAUAAAAAUGACCUGUGAAGUUUUUGCGAGUAUCUUCACCUCUAAAACUCAGAAACACAUCAUAAGAGAAGUUGGAAGAAGAAGAUGAUUCUCCUUGAGUAUUCAUAUUUGAUGACAAUAUAUGGAAUAAUUAGGCGAUUUUUAGUUGAAUGAAAGAAAGAUGAGUGAAGCAGCUACAGGUAAUAAUUUGUUCCUGGAAACCCAAUUUUGGGUCAACUCAUUUACAAUCCCUAAAAAAGUUAAUCCCUAGAUAGUUCACGUGUCUAUAUUUUAAAAGUAGAUAUAUUGACAUAAAUUUAGAUGGUAAAAAGUACUCCUUUUCUCUUUAAUUAUUUCUUCAUUUUUAAUUUGAUAGACCUAUUAAGAAAACUGUAACUUGCAUCUAGUUAAAAAGAAUGUUGAAAUAUUGAGUUUUAUGAAUUUGAUUUUAUUUUACUUUCUACAAAAGUUGUGUGAUCAUUUGGUAAUGGCCAUUACUAUUGCUCAAAGUUUUUAAACAUGAAAUAUAACUAAUACGAUAAUAAUUUUAAUAUAGCUUACUAAAAUAUUCAAGAUAAUAAAUGGAGAUGAUUAAAGUUUUUGGUCAAAAUCAUCCUCAAACUAUAGUCUAGAUUUUGGAUACAUCCUUGCAUUAUUAUACUGAACGAAAAACAUCAUUCAUCUAUCUAAAAAGUUUCAAUAGUCAUCCUUCUGUUAAUUUUUGUCAAAAACUACCGUCAAAACAUGUGUCAAGCAUGUGGCUUUUCCUCUAAAUCUCCUAAUUUUAAUCGUCUUCUGCACUAUAUUUUGAGCUAUUGUACACUCCCUCCGAUCAUGUCUCCUCGAGAAGUACUUGUUAAAUUAUUCUAUUGUAUCUUAUAUUAACUUUAAUCAAGUAAAUUAUUACAAAGUAAGAUAUCAACUUAGAACAUGUUUUAACUGUAACUGUUAGAGGUCGUUUGGUAGAGUGUAUUAGGAAAAAUAACGCAUGCAUUAGCAUUGUGUAUUACUAGUACCUUGUUUGGUACUCUUUUCCAACCUAUGUAUAACUAAUGCUUGCAUUAGUUAUACACUCUGAUCUAUUGUGUAUUAAGGUGUGUAUUGCUAAUACCAUGGAUUUCUAGGUAUUAGCAAUGCAAUGGUUUUAAUGCAUGCAUUAGAUUAACUAAUGACAAAACUACCCUCUAAGCCUAAUAAUAAUAAUAAUAAUAAUUAUAAUAAUAAUAAUAAUUAUAAUAAUAAUAAUAAUUAUAAUAAUAAUAAUAAUUAUAAUAAUAAUAAUAAUUAUAAUAAUAAUAAUAAUUAUAAUAAUAAUAAUAAUUAUAAUAAUAAUAAUAAUUAUAAUAAUAAUAAUAAUUAUAAUAAUAAUAAUAAUUAUAAUAAUAAUAAUAAUUAUAAUAAUAAUAAUAAUUAUAAUAAUAAUAAUAAUUAUAAUAAUAAUAAUAAUUAUAAUAAUAAUAAUAAUUAUAAUAAUAAUAAUAAUUAUAAUAAUAAUAAUAAUUAUAAUAAUAAUAAUAAUUAUAAUAAUAAUAAUAAUUAUAAUAAUAAUAAUAAUUAUAAUAAUAAUAAUAAUUAUAAUAAUAAUAAUAAUUAUAAUAAUAAUAAUAAUUAUAAUAAUAAUAAUAAUUAUAAUAAUAAUAAUAAUUAUAAUAAUAAUAAUAAUUAUAAUAAUAAUAAUAAUUAUAAUAAUAAUAAUAAUUAUAAUAAUAAUAAUAAUUAUAAGUUGAAGAUAAACUAACAGAAGGAUGAGUAUGCAAUUUUUGGGUAAGAUAGAGGGAUGUUUCUUAUCCAUGAUUAUAUUAGAAUGAUGUACUUUAGAUUUGUGCCAUAGUUGAGAGAUGAUUUCAGUUAAAAAUUUAAAAUACUUUAAUUAAAAUUAAUACGAUUUCUUACCUACUUCCUAAUUGGGAACUUUGUAUUUAUGAUAAAGAAGUAUAAAAAAAUUAUCCCGAACCCAACCAAUAAAUGUUUUUUUAUAAAAUUUAGAACCUAUAGUUUUUUAAUCUUCCAGGGUCCCAUUUUUCUAUGGAUUGAAUCAUCAUAAUAUUUUAUGACAAAAUACUGUAAAAUGGUGUAUGAUUGUAUGGCAUAUAUACCAUUUGUAUAUUCCCCAAAAUCAAUGAUAACCAUUUGUCUCUAACUUUAAUUUUGAAUUGUACUAAUUGAAUAUAUUAAUUGUACAAUACACAUUUAUUUAGUUCAAAGAUUUCCUCUUUGUACUUUAAGCUUCGGAAUGUAUUGUUUUCCUCAUUUUAUGAAGUGUUAUUAGAAAAAAAAAAAAAAAAAGCAUAAUACAUAAACAUGUGAUAUUUAAAUUUGGUCUUAGUUAAAUUAUCCAAUUUAUAAAAUGAUCAUUUAGACUCUUCCAAAAAUUAUUUGUUACGUUAAUGUAGGAUGUCCAUGAGAUACAUUGAGGCCAAGUUGGAGUGUUUAGUUGUUAGUUGAUAGCAAGUUAAAAUAUCUAGACUUGCACUUUCAAAGUUAGAGACUGAUUUUAUGUUGUUUUUUAUUUGUGUGUCUAAUUAUGAUGUUUUAUUCAUAUGGUUUUGAUUUGUGAAUGAAUUUUGAUUUUGCUCAUGUUAUUGUUGAUGGAUUCAUUUUCAGUCACUACUUAAUUAGUUACUAGAUGUGGAUUAAGAUUUUGAGUUUGUAAAUUCUAGAUCACAAUCGAUCUUUUUUGAAGUUUGUUGGAAUGUCAUAACAUAAAUACAUGAUUUGAAUCAAAGUUAUUGAGUUUGAUCAAACCCGUAGAUCCUAUACACGGUGGAUGAGAGAAUUAGAAAUAAUUGGACAAAAUUCAUUUAGGAGUCAUUUGCAAAUGAGAUUGUAUUUGGAUGAGAAUUUUGAAUAUAUUACAUGUUGAUAGUAGUGUCUGAGGUGUUAUAUACAAAUACUUUUAGAACAAACUUUUUUCUUACAUAACGAACACAAAAAGCAAGUAAGAAACUGUAACAUCCGGUAAUUUGAAAUAACUAUGAAGAAGCUUGAAAUUGGAAAUAGUCAUUUUUGGAAAGAAUUCAAAAAUCUGGAAAUUUAGCUAAGUAUGGAAAAAGUGAGUUUUUGGUCAACUUCGAACAGUCAUAACUCCUAGCUCAGGAUGAGUUAGGUGUAUUUCCAGUUAUGUUUGCGAAUCCCUUGGAAUGAUCUUUCCAACGCCGCUGAGUUUGCUCGAUUCCGAGUUCGUAUGAGUGAGUUAUGCCCUUUGGAAGUUGGGCUGUUGGCAUAGGGAAGUUCAUCCGAAUUAGUAAGGGUAUUUUGGUCUUUUCCCUAACCAUUUCUUUUGGUUAUAUUAAGGGUCUAGGAUGAUAAAAAAAUCAGUUUUCCCUUUUAAAAGUGAGAGUUAGGGUUCUUGAGAGAAAAGGAGAGAAGAGGAGAAAGAGAAGAAGAAGCAAAGUUCGUCAAGAUCGUCGUGGUUUUCGUCGGGGGUGAUCCCUAUUAAGGUAUGUGAGAUCAUAGUGUUGGGUUGGUUCAUUCCCCCACACGCCAAACUCGUUUUAAUUUCCGAGAAAAGAUUGGUUGUGUUUGUUGAAGAUUUGGUUAUGUUUGUUGAAGUUUGUGCCUGGUUGUGUUUGUUGAAGUUUCUUGUUGGUUUGGUACAUGUUUCCGGUUGUGUUUUCGAGUUGAAUCUAUUGUAUGUUGAGGGGUUUUAGGAUUCUAAGUGUUUGGGGCUGGAACCUUUGAAGUUAAGGUUGUUUAGAGUUGGAAAAACAAGGGAGAAAAGUCGAGUUUUUUGGGGAAAGGGCUGGCGCGUUGAGCCAGCCAGCACGCCUAAAAAGGGAUUUUGAACUUCCACCCUUGGGGCGGCGCGCCAUGCAGAGCGCCCCACCAGCCCUUCUGAACUUUGAGGGCUGGCGCCCCGCGCCUCUCAGAGCGCCAAGGACGCCAAGUCUUCCCAUUCAUUCCCCACUUUUUCAUACAUGUUCCUUAGCAAUGUACCUAUGUUUUAUAGUUGUUUUCAACACUCCAAGGUACGUCUAAACAUCAAGAACUCAUCCAUAAACAUGAGAUCUUUACCCUUGAAUUCAUAAUCCGAUUCGAGGAAAGUUCGGACCAAAGUCAAGUGAAGUUAGAGUCAAGCUUAGAAGUUAAGAAGUAAGUCGAAGCAAGUCUUUAAAGUUUUUCAAGAGUCUUUAUUGAACGUUUUAACUUCAUUUUAAGACUCAAGUUUCAAGGUGAGUAAAGAGUAUAGAGUUUCAAGUUAAGUAAAGAGUAUAGAGUUUCAAGUUGAGUAAAGAUUAUAGAGUUGAGUUCAUUUCUCAAGAGUUAUUAGGGAACUAAGUAUUCCCAAAGAAGUUUAGAAAUGUUUUCACAUUUGAGUAAGAAAGGAACAAUGAUUUCCAAAAGAGCCUUUGGGCUAGUUUUCAAGAAAAAGAAACAUCGAUUCCAAGUGAGCCUUUGGGCUAGAUUUUGAGCAAUUAUCUCAAACUAAAGAAAGAUGUGUUUAAAACACUUAUGAGCUAAAGUAUAUUUUGGGAGUAGUCUUGAGCACUGAAUUGGGGACACGAGUUCAUAUUAACUCAACUCUCCAUAAGAACCAUGUAGCCAACAUGGGAGUUAACGGGUCAUACUUUUUAGAUGAACCCGUAAAGUUAAGCUAGUGGAUCCACUUAGUAAAGUUAGCUUGUUAACGAGUCAUACUUUUUAAAUAAUCACGUAAGAUUAAGCUAGUGGAUCCACUAAGUUAAGUAAGGUCCUAUAUCACGGCAAGGUAUAGGAUGUUCCUUGGCCAACGUGAGGUAAAACGUUGUAUCAUCACUAGGGCUCAUAGUGGUGGUUGUCGGUUAAAGAAUCUCCUACUAAAGUUAUAUUACUUUUAUAUAAGUAAAGUUGAGUUUGUUAUUGUUUUAUCCUUAACGAACUAAGUGGUUUACACUGUUUUUACAAGCUUUAUAUAUUGCAUGUGUCUUAUUGCUUUAUAUUGAGUUCGGUUGUUCAUGAGUCGAACAGAGCUAAGGUAAGAGUUCCUUUGUAUUCCUUUCAAGCUUAAGUUGUUGUUAGCUUCCCAGCUCGCAUACUCGUACAUUCAAUAUACUGAUGCCAGUUUGACUGCAUCUUAUUAUGAUGCAGACGCAGGUACCCAGGAUCAGCAUCCAGCACGCCGUUGAUCCAGCUGAGCACUCCAGAGUCAGUGGUGAGCCUCUUUACUUUCCGGAGGACUCUAUUAUUUCGUUUUCCUAGUUUUGUUUUAUUAGGAUGUUGCGGGGUCUGUCCCAACAUCCAUCUCAGUGUUAUAGAAGCUGCAUAGACAGUCAGUCAGUUAGUAUUGAGUCUCUCAUCUAUGUAUAUAUGUAAAUAUUCUAUUUUGAGACACGAGUUGCCUUUUGGCCAGAUUUUAUCAGUUAGGUUGUUUUAUGACCUUUCAUUGCAUUGAGUUAUUCUGUCGAGUUAAGUUUCCACUGAGUUAAGAAAGUUGGGCCAAGGGUUUGCUUGGGGCCAGCAAUGGUCUUCAAGUGCCAGCCACGUCCAGGGUGUAGACUUGGGGCGUGACAAUCUCUUUUAAGAAAAAGAUGAGUUUUGCGAAAGAGUUUCUAAAACAUGAUUAGUAUGACAAUCGAGUAUGUUAUCAAUGUUUAAACAGUAUGGUCUCUAGAUAUACCAUCAAUGUUUAUGAAGUAUGACUUCUCGAGUCAUCAAUGAUCAUAUUAAAAUAUGGUUUUGAUAUGUUUCUUUUUUUUUAAAACAGUUUUCAAGAGCAAUUACCUCUUUUAAGAGGGUAGUUUUGAGUAAUUUUCUCAAACUAAAUAAAGAAGUUUGUUUUAAAGCUUAUGAGCUAAAGUAUAUUUUUGGGAGUAGUCUUGAGCACCGAAGUGGGUAUACGAGUUCAUAUUAACUCAACUCUCCAUAAGAACCAUGUGGCCAACAUGAGAUUUAACGGGUCAUACUUUUUAAAUGAUCACGUAAGUUAAGCUAGUGGAUCCACUAAGUUAAAGUUAAAGUAAGGUCCUAUAUCACGGCAAGGUAUAGGAUGGUCCUUGGGCAACGUGAGGUAAAACGUUGUAUCAUCACUAGGGCUCAUAGUGGUGGUGAUCGGUUAGAGAAACUCCCAUAGUAGAAAUGGUUCCUCGAGGGGUUCUGCUUAGUAUGGAUGGGGGUAUGGGACUUCACUCAUACAUUGCACAAGUAGACCUUGAAAGGAAGCAUGGUAUUUUAUGAUAUUAUAANNNNNNNNNNNNNNNNNNNNNNNNNNNNNNNNNNNNNNNNNNNNNNNNNNNNNNNNNNNNNNNNNNNNAUGGGGGUAUGGGACUUCAUUCAUGCAUUGCACAAGUAGACUUUGAGAGGGAGCGUGAUAUUUUUAUGAUAUUAUAAAUGUGAUUUUUGACGUCAUGUUUUAAUAGUUUUACAAGCUUUAUAUAUUGCAUGUGCGUUAUUGCUUUAUAUUGAGUUUGGUUAUUCAUGAGUGUCUGUCCCAACAUCCAUCUCAGUAUGUUAGUGGCUUCAUAGACAGUCAGUCAGUUAGUAUUGAGUCUCUCAUCUAUGCAUAUAUAAAUAUUCUAUUUUGAGACGAGUUGCCUAUUGGCCAGAUUUUAUCAGUUGGGUUGCUUUAUGACCUUUCUUUGCAUUGAGUUAUUCUGUUGAGUUAGGUUUCCGCUGAGUUAAGAAAGUCAGGCCAAGGGUUCACUUGGGGUCAGCAAUGGUCUUCGAAUGUCGGUCCCGCCCAGGGUGUAGGCUCGGGGCGUGACAGAAACCUACUUAUUCUCCGAAAAAGCAUUUUUCAAAAAGACAUUUUAGAGGCAUUGUUAUCAUUUGGUAGAUCCAGGUUCAUGGCCUAUUUCUAUGGAACACAUUCUCCAUAGUACCGAACACAGUCUCAGAACUUUGUUUGUUGAUAUCCACUGUUAUGGACCUCACUUGUGGAAUUUCAUUGGAUGUGUUGUUGAUGUUUGAGUUGAUAUGCCGUGCUGAAAAUCUUUGUGGGUAGGAGGGAGUAUAAGAAUGAUCCACAACUCCCGGCAACGAUGUAAUAAGAAAUUUGUUUGUUAUGUAUAAAAGAAUUAUCCCGAACCUGGCCUUUUUUCAUAAAAUUCAGAACCUAUAAUUUUUUAAUCUUCCCGGGGUCCCCUUUUUCUAUAGAUUGAAUUAUCAUAAUAUUUUAUGACAAAAUAUUGUAAAGGUGUAUGAAAUGGUAUAUUGCUCAAAAUCAUGGUAAUACCAUUUAUUUAUAACUUUAAAAUUUUGAAUUGUACUAAUUGAAUAUAUUAAUUUCACAAUGUACUUUUAUUUAGUUCAAAGUUUUCCUCGUUGUACUUUAAGCUUUGGAGUGUAAUGUUUUUCCGCAUUUUAUGAGGUGCUAAGAUUAGAAAAAGGCAUAAUACAUGAAUAGACGAUAUUCAAAUUUGGUCUUAAUUAAAUUCUCCAAUUUAUAAAUUGAUCACUUAGACUCUUCCAAUAAUUAUUUAUUACAUCAAUGUAGGGUGUUCACGAAAUACGAGAUACAGUGAAGCCAAAUUAAAAUAUUUAGAUGUACACUUCCACAAGAAGGUUAACCAAAAUGAAAGGGAAGUUUCCCAACAUAUUUUUUCUUAGAUAUGUCUCAUUCACUUUUACCUUUACUUUUACUUUUACGGUUACUCUUUUUUUUGUGUGUUAUAUUUGAAUUUGACAUACCACUAAAAAUAUUAUUGGGACUUCUUUUAUAUUUGUCCUUUCUUAUUGAGUAUGCUAAAGUAUACACUUAAAUUUGUAUAAAAUUAAAUAAAUAGACAUGGCGUCUUACAUGAAAAUUUGUGUCCUAUAUGUAUUACGUCACAUAAAAUGAGUAUGUCUACUUGUUCAAUUUUAUACAAGUUUAAGUGUUUAUUUGUACACAUCUAAAGUUGGAGGACAUAGAUGUCAGCAAAAACCAAGUUAAAUGACAUAUAUUUUUUUUUAUAUCUUUAGAAAUAUUCAAAAGAAUAAUAGUGAAAAGUAAAUUUUGAUUUUUGUCUUUAAAUUUAAGCGGUACAAACUUCUUUUCUUAUACAACUAGGAUAACAGUUCUCUCUUGAUAUGUCACCUCUUUCACAUUAAUUGUCGUCCUAACUCUUUGUUUAAACUUCUUUGUUGGCAUCUCAAAGUCAAUCAUUCUUUGAAUCUCUUUCACAUUUUUAAGUGAAUUGAAAUAAAUGGACAAAAUUCAUUUAGGAGUCAUUUGCAAAUCAGAUUGUAGUUGGAUGAGAAUGUUGAAUAUUACAGAUUGAUAGUAGUGUCUAAGGUGACUGUUAUAUACAAAUACUUUAAGAACAAACUUUUUUCUUACAUAACGAACGCAAGAAAAUAAGUAAGAAAUCUACUUAUUCUCCGGAAAAACAUUUUCCAAAAAGACAUUUUAGAGGCAUUGUUAUCAUUUGGUAGAUCCAGGUCCAUUGCCGAUUUCUAUGGAACACAUUCUCCAUGGUUCCGAACACACUCUCAGAACUUUGCUCGUUGAUAUCCACUGUUACGGACCUCACUUGUGGAAUUUCAUUGGAUGUGUUGUUGUUGUUUGAGUUGAUAUGCCAUGCUGAAAGUCUUUGUUGUUGUUUGAGUUGAUAUGCCAUGCUGAACGCUUUAUAUGGGCAACAGUAACAGCGAAGUGUUCAAGCUCAUGUGCAUCGCAAAGGCGGCAAACAAACCAGAGAACCAUUCCUAAGAACUUGUUAUUAUGUACUGUGGGCAUAGUCAAACAAAUAAGAUAAAAGAAUUUACUGACUUUAUUUCCUUGUAGAACAUCUCGGACUUAUUGAGGUUUGAACAAUCUACUCAAUUUUCUAGAGUCUCGAGGUGAUUCCAUACGAACAAUUUCUCUUCCCAUAUCUCGCACUAGAUCAUGCAUCACCAAAUAACGCCAAUCCCUUUGGAGAAAGUUCCUUUGGACUAAGGUUGAAAUUGCACUUUCAGAAUAAAAACCACACGCGUUUAAUGUUUUGAUAACUUCAUCCUCAAAAAAUUCAUGGAAGGCACACGCAAUAUCAAGGAAAACACUUUGAGUAUCACAAUCAAGUCCGUCAAAGCUUAUCUUGAGGAUCUUUUGAAUAUCACAAUGAGGAAUUGCUCUUAGUUUUUUGAACUCGUAUCUCCAUUCUUUAACGGAUCUCCCUCACAAUCAAGUCCGUCAAAGCUUAUCUUGAGGAUCUUUUGAAUAUCACAAUGAGGAAUUGCUCUUAGUUUUUUGAACUCGUAUCUCCAUUCUUCUACGGAUCUCCCUUGUAAAUGUGACCCCAAUGUCACAAGAGCUAACGGUAGCCCACCUGAAUAUUUGAUUAUGCUUUGUGCAACCUCAACAUAUUCUUGUGGCGGAGAAGGACUACUAAAAGCAUGACAAGAAAAAAGUUGUUGAGCUUCAUCUUGAUUUAAAUGUUUUGCCUUGUAUCUCUCGUUUUCUCUAAUCCGAGAUAGCAAAUGCUUGUCUCGGGUUGUAAUAAUUAUUAAACUACCAGAACCAAACCAACUUCUUUCUCUUGUUAAGGAUUCUAAUUGGCUCAUAUAAUCCACGUCAUCAAGAAUAAUUAGAACCUUCUUUGACCCAAGUCUUGCUUUGAUUAGAUUGAUGCCUUCAGCAACACUGGUAACUUUGACGUCCUUAGUUUUGAGAAUUUGAUUUAGUAGUUUUUCUUGUAACUUGACUAAACCAAAUGCUUCAGCUUCUGAUCUAACAUCUGAAAGGAAGCAACUAAUAUCAAAGUGUCGAAAUAUUUGAUUGUAGAUAGCUUUAGCCAGAGUUGUUUUUCCUAUUCCACCUACGCCAUAUAUACCAACCAUGCGAACUUCAUCUACACAUCCUUUUUGGAGUAACAACUCUAUAUCUUCGACACGAGAAUCUACUCCAACAGGAUGCCAAGCAAUAUCUAGAGGUGUCUGGUUUACCUCUAGUAGAACUUGUUUUACAAUACUUUCAAUAAAUUUUGAUUCAUGUCUGCAUAUUAGCAAAAACAAAAGUUAGAAUAAAAAAAACAACUUUGAUGUGUGGAAAAAAAAUAAUUGAUAACCAACUUAUGACUUUUGACUGAUAAGUCAGUUUGACCAGUUUAUAAAUAUUACCCGUCAACAACAUUUCGCAAAUCCCAUCCAGAUAAAUUUGCGCUAAUUCAGUAAGUGAAUCCGUCCAUUUUUUCAUUCUCUCAACCUCGAAUGAUCGCUCCUUAAGCAUAGCUAAAACUUCACCAAAGUAUCCGGUUUGCUUGCGUACAUGAGAAGGAUGAACAUCAUAGAAAAUAGGCAAAACUAUUUUCUUUAACUUGUCUUUGCAUUCGAGAAUUUUAACAAGUUCAUCAAGACACCAACUAGACGAAGCAUAAUUUUUCGAGAAAACAACAAUGGAAACUCUAGACUCUUCAAUUGCUUUCUCAAGUUCUUUUGAAAUCACCUUGCCUUUUCUUAAUUCCUCAUCAUCUAUGAAGGUAUUAAUUCCAACUUGACAUAAUCUGGAAUAAAGAUGACCUGUGAAGGUUUUUCGAGUAUCUUCACCUCUGAAACUCAGAAACACGUCAUAAGAGAAGUUGGAAGAAGUAGUUGAUGAUUCCCCUACAACAAAUUGAGUAUUCAUAUUUGAUGACUAAUAUAUGGAAGAAUGAGUAGCUAUCUAUAUAAUAUACCAUGCACAUGCUAUGGUUUUUUCUUGGUAACUUAACUAAUGCUAUAUAUUCUUUAAUUUAUUUUGUACAAUUAUUCUUCAUUAAAUUUUGUUAAUUGGGACUUUUUUUUUAAUGAUUCUUUACCUUUUGUCUCAUCUUUAAUUUGUUAAAGACUUGAAUGAUAAAAAGUAAGAUUCUUUCUUCCUUGAAAACUCAAAAGUUCAUCUCUCCACAUAAUUAUGAUGAUGUUAAGCUUGAUGUCAUAAUCUUUUAAUAAUGGAAUUGAAAACAUCGAUUUGUUCUCAAUUCACAAGUUGGAUUAAACUUUUUUUUCUUUUUUACCUAAUCAAGUAGUAUCGCAUAAAUUAUAACGAUAAUUUUUUAAAAGAAAUUAAAACACUUUGUAUUAAUAGUAAAAACUAGGAAACUUUGUCGUAAUAAAACUAACUACUAGUCUAUUGCAACUAUUAAACAAGUAAACAACUAAUAAAACUAAUUGGAUCACUCUUACUGAACCAUUGGUCUUAAUCCUAUACCUAUCAUACUGAUAUAGAGGUGAAUUCAGAACUUAAAAUUUAUGAAUUCUUAUAAAAAAUAAAUAAAUUUAUGAAUGAUAAUAAUUGAGUUCAUAAUCAAAUUAUAUUAAUUACUUAAUGAUUUUCUUAGUACAUAUAAAUAAUAUGAAUAAAAUCUAUUGAGUUCACACUAACCUCUCUAUAAUAAUCAAAUCAGUAAUUUUGAUCCAAAUUGAACUUUGUAUUUAUGAUAAUAAAUUUGUUUGUUAUGUGUAAAAAUAAUAUCCGGAACCCGAUCCGACCAGUAAAUGCUUUUUAUAAAAUUGAGAACCUAUAAAUAUAAAAUCGAAAUGCCAGUAGCAGUCAUAGUAUUUGGAACAAAGAAAAGCAAGGGAAUAACAAACCAUAUCUUCUGCUCCAACUUCACUUUCUUUAUAGUAUUUUUGAAAGGAAAAAAGGGAAUAGAAUUAAAUAUUAUCAGAAUGCCAACCAAAUAUUGAUUUUGUGCUCUAUCCUUACUGUGGGAAAAAAAAGAAAAUGUAAUUUAUUUGUGCAGUUUUUUAAUCUUCCAGGCGUCCCAUUUUUCUAUGGAUUGAAUUAUCAUAAUAUUUUAUGACAAAAUACUGUAAAAUGGUGUAUGACUGUAUGGGAAAUAUAAUAUUUGUAUAUUCCUCAAAAUCAUGAUAAUACCAUUUGUUUCUAACUUUUUAAUUGUACUAAUUGAAUAGAUUAAUUGUACAAUAUACUUUUGUUUAGUUCAAAGUUUUCCUCUUUGUACUUUAAGCUUGUGUGUCACGUCAGUAUAGGGUGUCCACGAGACACAUUAAGGGUGAGUUGGAGUGUUUAGCUGUUAGUUGAGAUGUCUAUAUGUACACUUUUAAUUAGUUACGCUUGCGAAAUUUUAAUUGGAUGACAAAACUAGGAUCGAAGUUUCGAGUGGUUAGCAUCUGACGGAUGAAAAAAAAAUCUAAAUGAAAAAUACUUUUUAGCGAAUCAGCUUGUAGUUGGAUGAGAAUUUUGAAUAUUACAGAUUGAUAGUAGUGUCUUAGGUGUUAUAUACAAAUACUUUAUGAACAAACGUUUUUCUUACAUAACGAUCACAAGAAAAUAAGUAAGAAACCUACUUAUUCUCCGGAGAAACAUUUUCCAAAAAGACAUUUUAGAGGCAUUGUUAUCAUUUGGUAGAUCCAGGUCCAUGGCCUACUUCUAUGGAACACAUUUUCCAUGGUACAUAACACAUUCUCAGAACUUUGCUCGUUGAUAUCCACUAAUACGGACCUCACUUGUGGGAUUUCACUGGAUGUGUUGUUGUUGUUUGAGUUGAUAUACCAUGCUGAAAGUCUUUGUGGGUAGGAGGGAGUAUAAGAAUGAUCCACAACUGCCGGGAAAGAAGUAACAUUACCAUGUUGAUCUACAUAUAAUAGACGUACUCCUAUCUUCUUUACAACGGCUCCGCCAGUGCGAUCCUCUACUGUUAUCUGUUCCCCGCCUUUGAUCUUCAGGCCAUUAAAAGGUCUAUUGUUUGAGUAAGAGAAGUAAUAUACACGUGAUAUUUCUCCCUGACUGUCAGGUAUAUUAAAAUGCGAACUCCACCAAAAAGUUGAAGACUCUACAUGGGCAACAGUAACAAUGAAGCUUUGAAGAUAGGAGGAUACAUUGCCAAAGUGGCAAACAAACCAGAGAACCAUUCCCAAGAACUUAUUAUUAUGUACUGUGGGCAUAGUCAAACAGAUAGAUGGAGCUGUUACUUUAUUGCUGCACCAAUCUGGAAUCUCAUUGCUUUCGAGAUUAAUUUGUAAUGACAUCUUCAUCAGACAAAUUAAGACACAAUUAGAUCAUUAAUUAUUAAUGUGAUACGAGGGAGAGAUCAGAGAGGGAGAGGGACUAACCUUAUACCGUUGAUGUUUUCUAGACGGAAUUGAUAGAGCAUGGGCACUAAAGAAGCCUUCAUUGAAUGGAUUCUGCAGACGAGUACAAUUAAUCAUGUCCACCUUCUCUAUUGAAGGGAGGUAGUCCGACCCUGUAAUCUUGACCAGUUUUUGGCAAUUCCUAAGUUCAACAAUUGCAAGGUGCUCUAAAUUUGAUAUUGACGGGAGUGUUUGAAGGUUCUCACAAUCAUUCAAAUAUAAGGACGUCAACAAUGGUAACUUGGAAAAAUCAAAGGGUAGAUAGAGGAAACUGUUGCCGCUCAAAUCUAAAAAAUAUAAGUUGGAUAAACUCCCAAUAUCCCUAGGAACAUCAGCCUCCGAGAAACCACAAUAUGAAAGGCGUAGAUUCAAAAUAAAUUUUGACAAGGACACUAUGGGGCGUACUCUUCUUUGAGAAAAACUCCUUUUGGCCUUUAAGUAUUGGCCUCCCAUUUCCAAUUCUACAAGAUUUCGUAGCAUUUCAACAGAUCCAGGCAAUUGUUUUAUACCUGUUUCACGUGCAUUAAGAUAUCUUAGGCUUUGCAUAGCUCCAAUGUUAACUGGCAGUGUUUGUAAAGACGAGCAGUCAUUAAUGUACAAGGUUUUAAGGGAUUUUAGCUGGCAUAUGCUGCUCGGAAGAUCCGUAAUAUUUUUUGCAACCAUUCAAUUGAAGAUCAGUUAGUCUGUCCAAAUUUCCUAUUGAUGGAUGGAUCUCCUUCAGACUUGAAGCAAUUCUCAAGCAACAAAGUCUCGAGACUUCGUGAACCGUUGAAGUUUGGAGUUUUUCUGAGGCGCUUGCAAUCAGAGAGAUCCAGCAUUUUCAAAUUUCUACAAUACUAAAAGUAAACAAAAUAUUGUUUCAAUUAAGAUUUUCUUUCCCUUAAACAUUACACAUAAAUUUGCAAAAUUGAGUAACGAACCUGCAAAUUCAAACCAAAUUCUAGGAUAUUGCUCCCUUUCAUAUUCAGAAAUACAAGUUUCUCAGAUGGAAAAUUUGAUGGUACACAUUUUAAAGGACAUCCUUUCCAAGACAGCCAUCUGAGCUCCUUGGACAAUAGCUCAAAAUCUCCACUAAUAUGUAAAGUCGUCGAUUUUUAAGCACCCUAAGAUUUAUCAUUUUCUGAAAUGCUUUUGGUGUUCAGCUUCACACCCUUUAAUGCCUGUCGUUCUACCACCAAUAUUUCUACAUUUUUAGAACCCUACAGUUUAGUAAAAAGAAAAGUACUAUAAGACCAUGUUAAGUAUGAUAAAUUAAGAAAGAGAAAUGCUUUAUACAAAUUGAAGGUCAAACAAAUAGAAUAAAUUAUGUACCAAUAAAAAAAAAAUUACACAUUAUAUCCAACUAAAGGAUGUUUAUUUGAUAAUUUUGUCUUUGAUAGUUUGUUUAGACUUCAGUAAAUGUUCAUUUCAAGUACAGAAUGGUUCAAACAUCUAAAGAUACUUACUAACGGGAGAAGAUUUAAGCACAAAUGCAUAAAUUAUAAGCAAAUGUAUAUCAAUAUGAAAAAAGAAGAAGAAGAAGUAUAACCAAGAUAAAGAUAAUGAAAUUUACUGACUUUAUUUCCUUGUAGGACAUCAAGGACUUCUUGAGGGUUGACCAAUCUACUCCGUUUUCCACUGUCUCGAGGUGAUUCCAUGCGAACGAUUUCUCUUCCCACAUCCUGCACUAGAUCAUGCAUCACCAAACGACGCCGAUCCCUUUGGAGCAGGUGUCUUUUGACUAGAGUUACAAUUGCACUUUCACAAUACAAACCACAGGCGUUUAAUGUUUUGGUAACUUCAUCCUCAUCACAUCCAUGGAAGGCGCACGCAAUAUCAAGGAAAACAUUCUGAGUAUUGUCAUCAAGUCCAUCAAAGCUUAUUUGGAGAAUCUUUUGAAUAUCAAAAUGAGGAAUUGUUCUUAGUUUUUCGAACUCGUAUCUCCAUUCUUCAACGGAUCUCCCUUGUAAAUGUGACCCCAAUGUCACAAGAGCUAAUGGUAGCCCACCUGAAUAUUUAAUUAUGUUUUGGGCCAGCUCAACAUAUUCAUGUGGUGGAGAAAGACUGUUAAAAGCAUGACAAGAAAAAAGUUGUUGUGCUUCGUUGCCAUUUAAAAGUUUGGCCCGGUAUAUCUCAUUUGUUGUAAGACCAUAAAGCAAAUGCUCGUCUCGGGUUGUAAUAAUUAUAACACUACCAGAACCAAACCAAUUUCUUUCUCUUGUUAAGGAUUCUAAUUGGCUUCUAUGAUCCACAUCAUCAAGAACAAUUAGAACCUUUUGGGACCCAAGUCUUGCUUUGAUGAGAUUAACACCUUCAGCAACACUAUCAACUUCAAAUUCCUUAGUUUUGAGGAUUUGAUGAAGUAGUUUCUCUUGAAGCUUGAUUAGACCCAAUUCUUCAGCUUUUGAUCUAACAUCUGAAAGGAAGCAACUACCACCAAACUGUAGAAAUAUUCUAUUGUAGAUGGCUUUUGCUAGAGUUGUUUUUCCAAUUCCACCAACGCCACAUAUACCAACCAUUCGAACUUCAUGCUCACAUCCACUUUGCAUUAACAACAAUAUAUCUUUGAUAGGAGAAUCUAAUCCAAUUGGAUAAUGAGCAACAUCUAGAGGUGUCUGGUUGACUUCUUGCAGAACUUGUUUUAUAAUACUUUCAAUAAAUUUUGAUUCAUGCCUACAGUUUUUUUAGCAAAAACAGUAAAAAACAAAACUUUGAUAUUUGAAAAUAUAUGAUGAACAAAACAAAAUCCAUAGCCAACAGAUAACAGGGAAAUCGAGGGUAGAGAAUGGAGAUUAUCAAUUACUAUUACUCCCUCGUUCCAAUUUAUGUGAUGCAGUCUGAUUUGGCACGGAGAUUAAGAAAUAUAAAAAGAAUUUGCAAUGUUCCAAAACUAACCAACUUAUAAGCUUAGGCAAAUGCUUAAAUUCAAAAUUCUAAAGUUGAAUUAAGAAGUGUUACCCAUCAGCAACAUUUCUCAAAUCCCAUCCAGAUAAAUUUGCUGCUUCAGUAAGUGCAGCUUUCCACUUUUCCAUUCUUUCAGUUCCAAUUGAUCGUUCCUUGUGUUUUGCCAAAGCUUCGCCAAAGGAUCCAGUUUGUCUUCGUACUUGAGAAGGAUCAACAUCAUAGAAAAUAGGCAAAACUAGCUGAUUUAACCUCUCUCUGCAAUCGAGAAUUUUGACAAGUUCAUCAAGACACCAACUAGAGGAAGCAUAAUUUUUGGAGAAAACAACAAUGGCAACCCUAGAUUGUUCAAUUGCUUUCUCAAGUUCAAUUGAAAUGACGUCUCCCUUUCUCAAUUCCUCAUCAUCUAUGAAAGUAUUAACUCCGACUUGACAUAAUCUGAAAUAAAGAUGACCGGUAAAGUUGUUUCUGGUAUCUUCACCUCUGAAACUGAGAAACACAUCAUAAGAGAAGUUGGAAGAAGAAGAUGAUUCUCCUUGAGUAUUCAUAUUUGAUGACAAUAAAUGGAAGAAUUAAGCGAUUUUUAGUUGAAUGAAAGAAAAGAUGAGUGAAGCAGUUACAGGUAAUUGUUUGUUCCUGGAAACUCAAUUUUGGGUCAACUCAUUUACAAUCCCUAAAGAAAGUUAAUCGAAACGAAAGGGAAGUUCCCAGCAUAUUUCUUAGAUAGUUCACGUGUCUAUAUUAAAAGUAGAUAUAUUUACAUAAAUUUAGAUGGCAAAAAGUAAUCUCUUUCUCUUAAUUAAUUACUUCUCCACUUUUGAAUUGACACACCUGAGUAUUAAGAAAACAAUAAGAAGUAGUAGAAAUAAUUAGGGAUGAUAAUGAGAUAGCGUGGAUGAAAGGUAGGGCGGAUUAAAGGUUAUAUGGGGCGGGGGCGGGGAGCUUUUAAGGUUGUAUGGGGUUGGGUGGAUGCAAAUUAAUGUGAGGCGGUGCGAUUUGUGGGUUCAUGUGAUUUUAUACGGAUUCAAAUUUAAUUUUAAUUGUAUAGGUUAUAAGAGUGAUGAAGCUUUCACGGAUAAAAAUACACAUGAUUUGGUAGUUAAACUAUUAGUAUUAGGAUUAGGAUAAAAUAAAGAGAAUAAUCUUGCCCUUUGUCUUGUAUUGUGUUAUAAUUCAUAUAAAAAAAUUUAUCUGAUUUGGAGUCUACUCAAUUUUCAAAAGAAAAAAAAAACUUUAAUUCAUGAUGUGCACUUUAUUUAUGCUUUUAUUUGCAUCUACUUAUUUUGACCCAACGAAAAUGAAUUUUGUUAUUUAUGCUCUGCAUAAAUUGCAUCUAGUUAAAAAGAAUUUUGAAAUAUUGAGUUUUAUGAAUUUGAUUUUAUUUUAUUUUCUACAAAAAUUGUGUGAUCAUUUGGUAAUGGCCAUUACUAUUGCUCAAAGAUUUUAAACAUGAAAUAUAACUAAUACAAUAAUAAUUUUAAUAUAGCUUACUAAAAUAUUCAAGAUAAUAAAUGAAAAUGAUUAGAGUUUUCGAUAAAACUCAUCCUCAAACUAUAGCCUAGAUUUUGGUUACAUCCUUGCAUUAUUAUAUUGAACAAAAAACAUCAUUCAUCUAUCUAAGAAGUUUCAAUAGUCAUCCUUCGGUUAAUUUUGGUAAAAAGUUAACUUGUUAUCGUCAAAAUAUGUGUAAAGCAUGUAGGUUUCCCUCUAAAUCUCCUAACCUAAAUCGUCUUCUCCACUAUAUUUUGAGCUAUUGCACUUUAGAUUUGUGUCAUAGUUGAAGGAUGAUUUCAGUAAAAAAUUUAAAAUAAUUUAAUUAAAAUUAAUACAAUUUCUUACCUACUUCCUAAUUGGGAACUUUGUAUUUAUGAUAAAGAAGUAUAAAAAAGUUAUCCCGAACCCGACCAGUAAAUGCUUUUUUAUAAAAUUUAGAACCUAUAGUUUUUUAAUCUUCCAGGGGUCCCAUUUUUCUAUGGAUUGAAUUAUCAUAAUAUUUUAUGACAAAAUACUGUAAAAUGGUGUAUGAUUGUAUGGCAUAUAUACCAUUUGUAUAUUCCCCAAAAUCAAUGAUAACCAUUUGUCUCUAACUUUAAUUUUGAAUUGUACUAAUUGAAUAUAUUAAUUGUACAAUAUACAUUUAUUUAGUUCAAAGAUUUCCUCUUUGUACUUUAAGCUUUGGAGUGUAUUGUUUUCCGCAUUUUAUGAAGUGUUACUAUUAGAAAAAAAGGCAUAAUACAUAAACAUGUGAUAUUCAAAUUUGGUCUCAGUUAAAUUCUCCAAUUUAUAAAAUGAUCAUUUAGAUUCUUCCAAAAUUAUUUGUUAUGUUAAUGUAGGAUGUCCACGAGAUACAUUGAGGCCAAGUUGGAGUGUUUAGCUGUUAGUUAAUAGCAAGUUAAAAUAUCUAGACGUGCACUUUCAAAGUUAGAGACUGAUUUUAUGUUGUUUUUUAUUUGUGUGUCUAAUUAUGAUGUUUUAUUUAUAUGGUUUGAUUUGUGAAUGAAUUUUGAUUUUGCUCAUGUUAUUGUUGAUGGAUUCAUUUUCAGUCACUACUUAAUUAGUUACUAGAUGUGGAUUAAGAUUUUGAGUUUGUAAGUUCUAGAUCUCAACCGAUCAUUUUUGAAGUUUGUUGGAAUGUCAUAACAUAAAUACAUGAUUUGAAUCAAAGUUAUUGAGUUUGAUCAAACCCGUAGAUCCUAUACACGGUGGAUGAGUGAAGCAGAAAUAAUUGGACAAAAUUCAUUUAGGAGUCAUUUGCAAAUGAGAUUGUAUUUGGAAGAGAAUUUUGAAUAUUACAUAUUGAUAGUAGUGUCUAAGGUGUUAUAUACAAAUACUUUUAGAACAAACUUUUUUCUUACAUAAUGAACACAAGAAAAUAAGUAAGAAAACCUACUUAUUCUCCGGGGAAACAUUUUCCAAAAAGACAUUUUAGAGGCAUUGUUAUCAUUUGGUAGAUCCAGGUCCAUGGCCUAUUUCUAUGGAACACAUUCUUCAUGGUACCGAACACAAUCUCAGAACUUUGUUCGUUGAUAUCCACUGUUACGGACCUCACUUGUGGGAUGUGUUGUUGUUGUUUGAGUUGAUAUGCCCGAAAGUCUUUGUGGGUAGGAGGGAGUAUAAGAAUGAUCCACAACUCCCGGCAAAGAUGUAACAUUACCAUGUUGGUCCAAGUAUAACAGAUGGAUCCCUAUCUUCUUUACUAGUCUCUGUCAGUUUCAUUCUUUACUGUUAUCUGUUCCCCACCUUUGAUGUUCAGGCCUUUAAAAGGUCUAUCAUUUACGGAAGAUAAGUAAUAUACACAUGAUACUUCUCCGUGACUGUUAGGUCUAUCAAAAGGCCAAAUCCACGGAAAACCUGUACUCUUUUUAUGGGCAACAGUAACAGCGAAGUGUUCAAGAUCAUGUACAUCGCAAAGGCGGCAAACAAACCAGAGAACCAUUCCUAAGAACUUGUUAUAAUGUACUGUGGGCAUAGUCAAACAGAUAGAUGGAGCUGUUACUUUAUUGCUGCACCAAUCUGGAAUCUCAUUGCUUUCGAGAUUAAUUUGUAAUGACAGCUUCAUCAGACAAAUUAAGACACAAUUAGAUCAUUAAUUAUUAAUGUGAUACGAGAGAGAUCAGAGAGGGAGAGGGACUAACCUCAUACCGUUGAUGUUCUCUAGACGGAAUUGAUAGAGCAGGGGCACUAAAGAAGCCUUCACUGAAUGGAUUCUGCAGACGAGUACAAUUAAUCAUGUUCAUCUUCUCUAUUGAAGGGAGGUUGUCCAACCCUGCAAUCUUGACCAGUUUUUGGCAAUUCCUAAGUUCAACAAUUUCAAGGUACUCUAAAUUUGAUAUUGACGGGAGUGUUUGAAGGUUCUCACAAUCAUUCAAAUACAAGGACAUCAACAAUUGUAACUUGGAAAAAUCAAAGGGUAGAUAGAGGAAACUGCUGCCGCUCAAAUCUAAAUGAUAUAAGUUGGAUAAACUCCCAAUAUCCCUAGGAACAUCAGCCUCUGAAAAACCACAAUAUGGAAGGCAUAGAAUCGAAAUAAAUUUUGACAAGGAUACUAUAGGGCGUACUCUUGUUUGAGAAAACCUCCUUUUGGUCUCAAAGUAUUGACCUCCCAUUUCCAAUUCUAUAAGAUUUCCUAGCAUUUCAACAGAUCCAGGCAAUUCUUUUAUACCUGUUUCACGUGCAUUAAGAAAUCUUAGGCUUUGCAUAUCUCCAAUGUCAACUGGCAGUGUUUGUAAAGAUGAGCAGUCAUUAAUGUACAAGAUUUCAAGGGAUUUUAGCUGACAUAUGCUGCUCCAAAGAUCAGUAAUCUUUUUGCAACCACUCAAUCGAAGACAAAUUAGUCUGUCCAAAUUUCCUAUGGAUGGAUGGAUCUCCUUCAGACUUGAGCAAUUCUCAAGCCACAAAGUCUCGAGACUUCGUGAACCGUUGAAGUUUGGAGUUUUUCUGAGGCGCUUGCAAUAAGAGAGAUCCAGCAUUUUCAAAUUUCUACAAUACUAAAAGUAAACAAAACAUAGUUUCAAUUAAGAUUUUCUUUCUCUUAAACAUUACACAUAAAAUUGCAGAAUUGAGUAACGAACCUGCAAAUUCAAACCAAAUUCUUGGAUAUUGCUCCCUUUCAUAUUCAGAAAUACAAGUUUCUCAGAUGGAAAAUUUGAUGGUACACAUUUUAACGGACAUCCUUUCCAAGACAACCAUCUGAGCUCCUUGGACAAUAGCUCAAAAUCUCCACUAAUAUGUAAGUGGUCUAUUUUAAGCACCCUAAGAUUUAUCAUUUUCUGAAAUACUUUGGUGCUUAGCUUCACACCCUUUAAUGCUUGUCGUUCUACCACCAAUAUUUCUACUUUUUUAGAACCCUGCAAUUUAGUAAAAAUAAAAGUACUAUAAGACCAUGCUUAAGUAUGACAAAUUAAGAAAGAGAAAUGCUUUAUACAAAUUGAAGGUCAAACAAAUAGAAUAAAUUAUGUACCGAUAAAAAUAAAUUUACACAUUAUAUCCAACUAAAGGAUAUUUAAUUGAUAAUUUUGUCUUUGACAGAUUGAGUGUUUAGACUUCAGUAAAUGUUCAUUUCAAGUACAGAAUGGUUCAAACAUCUAGAGAUACUUACUGGCCGGAGAAGAUUUAAGCACAAAUGCAUAAAUUAUAAGCAAAUGUAUAUCAAUAUAAAUGUAAAAAAGAAGAAGAAGUAUAACCAAGAUAAAGAUAAUAAAAUUUACUGACUUUAUUUCCUUGUAGAACAUCAAUGACUUCUUGAGGGUUGAACAAUCUACUCCGUUUUCCAGGGUCUUGAGAUUCCAUGCGAACGAUUUCUCUUCCCAUUUCCUGCACUAGAUCAUGCAUCACCAAACUAGACCAAUCAUCCCUUUGGAGCAAGUUCCUUUGGACUAAGGUUGAAUUGAACUUUCAGAAUAAAAACCACACGCAUUUAAUGUUUUGGCAACUUCAUCCUCAUAACAACCAUGGAAGGCACAUGCGAUAUCAAAGGAAAACACUCCGAGUAUUGACAUCAAGUCCAUCAAAGCUUAUCUUGAGAAUCUUUUGAAUAUCACCAUGAGGAAUUGCUUUUAGUUUUUUGAACUCGUAUCUCCAUUCUUUAACGGAUCUCCCUAGCAGAUGUGACCCCAAUGUCACAAGAGCUAAUGGUAGCCCACCUGAAUAUUUUAUUAUGUCUUGUGCCAGUUCAACAUAUUCUUGUGGUGGAGAAAAACAGUUAAAAGCAUGACAAGAAAAAAGUUGUUGGGCUUCAUUGUCAUUUAAAAGUUUGGCCCGGUAUAUCUCACUUGUUGUAAGCCCAUAUAGCAAAUGUUCAUCUCGGGUUGUAAUAAUUAUUACACUACCAGAGCCAAACCAACUUCUUUCUCUUGUUAAGGAUUCUAAUUGGCUUCUAUGAUCUACGUCAUCAAGAACAAUUAGAACCUUUUGAGACCCAAGUCUUGCUUUGAUGAGAUUAGCACCUUCAGCAACAUUAUCAACUUCAAAUUCCUUAGUUUUGAGGAUUUGAUUAAGUAGUUUCUCUUGAAGCUUGACUAGACCAGAUUCUUCAGUUUUUGAUCUAAUGUCAGAAAGGAAGCAACUACCAUCAAACUGUUGAAAUAUUCGAUUAUAGAUAGCUUUUGCCAAAGUUGUUUUUCCAAUUCCACCAACGCCACAUAUACCAACCAUGCAAACUUCAUGCUCACAUCCACUUUGCAGUAACAACUCUAUAUGUUUGAUAGGAGAAUCUAAUCCAGUUGGGUAAUGAGCAACAUCUAGAGGUGUCUGGUUAACCUCUCGCAGAACUUGUUUUAUAAUAUUUUCAAUAAAUUUUGCUUCAUGCCUACAGUUUUUGCAACAAUAAAUACUUAGGUAUUUAAAAAUAUUUGAUGAACAAAAUAAAAAUCAAUAGCCAAAAGAUAAAAGAGUUUAUAGAAUGGAGAAUAUAUUCCUUGUCCCUAUCUAUAUGACACAGUUUGAUUUGACACAAAAUUUAAGAAAUAUAGAAAGACUUUACAAUGUUCCAAAAUUAACCAAGUUAUAAGCUUAGGCAAACGCUUAAAUUCAAAAUUUAAUAGUUGAAUUAAGAAGUCUUACCCAUCAGCAACAUUUCUCAAAUCCCAUCCAGAUAAAUUUGCUGCUUCAGUAAGUGCAGCUUUCCACUUUUCCAUUCUUUCAGCUCCAACAAAUCGUUCCUUAUGUUUUGCCAAAGCUUCGUCAAAGGAUCCAGUUUGCCUUCGCACUUGAGAAGGAUCAACAUCAUAGAAAAUAGGCAAAACUACCUGAUUUAACCUCUCUUUGCAAUCGAGAAUUUUGACAAGUUCAUCAAGACACCAACUAGAGGAAGCAUAAUUUUUGGAGAAAACAACAAUGGCAACCCUAGACUGUUCAAUUGCUUUCUCAAGUUCAAUUGAAAUGACGUCUCCCUUUCUCAAUUCCUCAUCAUCUAUGAAAGUAUUAACUCCAACUUGACACAAUCGGAAAUAAAGAUGACCUGUGAAGUUUUUCCGAGUAUCUUCACCUCUGAAACUGAGAAACACAUCAUAAGAUAAGUUGGAAGAAGAAGAUGAUUCUCCUACAACAAAUUGAGUAUUCAUAUUUGAUGACAAUAAAUUAAAGAGAUUUUUAGUCAAUUUUUUGCUUAAUUAAUUAAAUAGAGAUGUGAAGCAGCUAUUUAUAUACCCACAAGUACUUGUUUGUUCCUGGAAAUUUAAUUUUGGGUCAAGUCAUUUACAAGCCCCAAAGAAGGUUUACAGAAAUGAAAGGGAAGUUUCCAAGACAUAAUAUGUCUAUUCACUUUUAUUUGUCCAGCUAUUAAAAGUAGAUAUACAAUUUACUUUCAUUUCCUUCGUAGAUUUUUACUCAUUCACACUAUUAAAAAUAAUGAUCAUUUUUAUAAUGUAUUUUUUCAUCAUAUUAAUAUGCAAAAAAUUGUAAUUUAUAAUUUUUUUAUAGUUUUUGAAUAUUUAAAUUUUUUGUUUAAAAUAUCAAAUUAAUACAAUCUAAUUUAAUUUUGAAAAUUAAUUAAAUUGACUUUCGAAAAUGACAAUAUGAUAUAAAUGAGAGAAUACCAAAAGAGCUGGCAAAUUUCCACCAAAACUUCGCAAGUGGAAAUUAUUAUUAUCUUAAAGUUAUGAACUCACAUCUACAAUUAUUAUUUAGUUUAUUAUAUUUAAAUAAAAAAGAGGAAAAGUCGGAAGUUGUAAAAUUUUAAAUGACAAGUAGAAUGUUUCAACAUGAAUUUAUGAUACUUUAAUAAGCAAUAUUCGUUCUGUAAUAAAUUAAUCGCAAAGAAUUGAUUAGGAAUUUGGUUGAAAAUAGAAAUGGUCCAAUUCAAGAUGAAACUAUUAGAAUUGACCUUUGGUGAGGAAGUAAAUUAAAUUACUCCCUUCGUCUAUUUUUAUUUGUCUAGUAUUAACUCAUGCAAUAAAUAAAACAAAAACAUGAUCGUAUUUGUUCCUGUAUUCUAACAAAAAAGUUAUAUUAUUUGUCAUUUGUUAUACUUCAGAGUCAUAUUUAUCCUUGAGACAUUAAAUCUCCAUGACCCGCCUUAAUUUAACGCAGAAUAGGACGAACACUCUUCUCCAAAGUCCAAGCUAAGACUGUUUCCAUUACUAAAAAUCAAUAAAUUACACAGUUCGAUCACUUACAAUGUUCUCUGGUAUUGUAGGUUAAUCAGAGAGACACUAUAUUCACUAUACAAAGAAAAAGUUGAUCAAUUUUUAAAACUAAGCUUUAGUGCAACUCUACAUACUAGCACUAUACAAUGGAAAAAUUGGUUACAUAAAUUAAACAAAAUUUUCUAUAGAAGCUACUGCUAUCGAAGCUCGAUGCUCCAUUGUUCAUACCUAAUAAUGGCUUUGUAGCCCUAUAAUAGUACACAUUCUACUACAUCCAUCUUCCCAUCUUCAUUGACAUCAUUUUCCUCUUCUUGUGGGCUUUAUGCUUUUCUGCAAUCCUCAGCCUCCUCUUGGCGUUUCUCAUUGGAUUGACCUUCUCUUCUUGUUUCCUCUUAUCCCUCUUCGAUUUGAUAUUCUUCCUUAUAUGACUGUAGAUUUGGACAAAAUAUGUGUUCCUAUAACAUUGCUUAUGCUCCCUCGCACUCCUUCAGCCAGUUGUUUCACGUCAUCUGUGGAGAUGAUGCAAACGUAAUGUCACGCCCCGAGCGUACACCCUGGGCAGGACCGGCACCCGGAGACCAUUUCUGGCCCCAAGCGAACCCUUGGCCUGGCUUUCUUAACUCAGCGGAAACCUAACCCAACAGAAUAACUCAAUGCAAUGCAAUAUUACAAAACAACUUAACUUAUAAAAUAUGGCCAUAAAGGCAACUCGAAUCUCAAAAUAGAAUAUUUACAUAUAUAUAUAGAUGAGAGACUCAAAACUAACUGACUGACUGUCUGUCUAUGAAGCCUCUAAAAUACUGAGAUGGAUGUUGGGACAGACCCCGCAACACCCUAAUAAGACAAAACUAAGAGAACAAAAUAACUAAGCCCUCCGGAAGCAAGGAGGCUCACACUGACUCUGGAGUGCUCAANNNNNNNNNNNNNNNNNNNNNNNNNNNNNNNNNNNNNNNNNNNNNNNNNNNNNNNNNNNNNNNNNNNNNNNNNNNNNNNNNNNNNNNNNNNNNNNNNNNNNNNNNNNNNNNNNNNNNNNNNNNNNNNNNNNNNNNNNNNNNNNNNNNNNNNNNNNNNNNNNNNNNNNNNNNNNNNNNNNNNNACAAGGAUACAAUAAGCCUGAGAUGUAUAUAGAAAUACAAUUAAACUGAUGUAUAUAAAAAAAUACAAUAAUCUCUGUGUAUGAAAAUACAAUAACUGCUGUGGGAGUUUCUCUAACNNNNNNNNNNNNNNNNNNNNNNNNNNNNNNNNNNNNNNNNNNNNNNNNNNNNNNNNNNNNNNNNNNNNNNNNNNNNNNACUUUGGCUCAUAUGUUUUAAAAACAAACUUCUUUCUUUAGUUUGAGAUAAUUGCUUAAAACCUAGCCCAAAGGCUCUCUUGGAAUCAAUGUUCCCUUUACUUUGCUCAAAUGUGAAAACAUUUAUAAACUUCUUUGGGAAUACUUAGUUCCCUAAUAGCUUUUGAGAAAUGAACUCAACUUUAUGCUCUUGACUUACUUGAAACUUGAGACUCUUUACUUAGCUUGAAACUUUAAACUCUUUACUUGACUUGACACUUGAGUCUAAAAAUGAAGUUAAAACGUUCAAUAAAGACUCUUGAACAACUUUGCAACUUGCUUACCUUGCUUAACUUCUAAGCUUAACUCUUAAUUUCUAACUUCACUUGACUUCUAACUAACUCUCCUUGAAUUGGAAUUUUGGAUUCAAGGUGUUUGAUCACAUGUUAUGGAUGAGUUCUUGACUUUUAGAAGUACCUUGGAGUGUUGGAAACAACUAGGAAACAUAGGUAUAAUACCUAGGAACAUGUAUGAAAAAAGUGGUGAAUGAAAGGGAAGGAUUGGUGUCCUUGGCACUAGGAGAGGUGCGACAGCCCAGCCCUUUGUUCCCCAAAAAUCCGACUUUUUCCCCUUGUUUCUUUCCAAUUCUAAACCCUCUCAACCUCAAGGUUUCAGCAACAACACUUAGAAUCAUAAAGACCCUUAUUAUACAAUAGAUUCAACUCAAAAAUCACAGCCGGAAAUUUGUACUAAACCAGCAAGAACUUCAACACAACACCACUACAACUUCAACAACCAAUAAAUCUUCUCUUGGAAUUAAAAACGAGUUGGUGUGUGGGGGUAUGAACCAACCAACNNNNNNNNNNNNNNNNNNNNNNNNNNNNNNNNNNNNNNNNNNNNNNNNNNNNNNNNNNNNNNNNNNNNNNNNNNNNNNNNNNNNNNNNNNNNNNNNNNNNNNNNNNNNNNNNNNNNNNNNNNNNNNNNNNNNNNNNNNNNNNNNNNNNNNNNNNNNNNNNNNNNNNNNNNNNNNNNNNNNNNNNNNNNNNNNNNNNNNNNNNNNNNNNNNNNNNNNNNNNNNNNNNNNNNNNNNNNNNNNNNNNNNNNNNNNNNNNNNNNNNNNNNNNNNNNNNNNNNNNNNNNNNNNNNNNNNNNNNNNNNNNNNNNNNNNNNNNNNNNNNNNNNNNNNNNNNNNNNNNNNNNNNNNNNNNNNNNNNNNNNNNNNNNNNNNNNNNNNNNNNNNNNNNNNNNNNNNNNNNNNNNNNNNNNNNNNNNNNNNNNNNNNNNNNNNNNNNNNNNNNNNNNNNNNNNNNNNNNNNNNNNNNNNNNNNNNNUGAUUUGUGAAAAGACCAAAAUGCCCUUAAAUUUUCCGGACGGAUUCCCUGCCAACUGCCCAACUUUCAAAGGGCAUAACUCGCUCAUACGAACUCGGAAUCGAGUAAUCUCAAUGGCGUUGGAAAGAUCAUUCCACAAGCUUCGCAACCAUAACUGGAACUACUCCUAACUCAUCCUGAGCUAGGAGUUACGACUGACUCAAAGUUGGCCAAAAUCACUGAUUUCCACACUUAGCCAAAUUUUCCAGAUUUUGAAUUUUUCCAAAUUUCCAGAUUCUGGACUGCCAAAUUUCCAGAUUUUAAAUUUUUCCAAAAAUGACUAUUUCCAAAUUCAAGCUUCUUCAUAUUCAUUUUAAAUUGUCGGAUGUUACACGUAAUCAUCAAAUAUAUUAAGGACUACAAAGUUAAUCACUCGGAAGCCAAAGAGGAAGUGAAGAACAUUUGUAAAUGCAGCUAGCACUUUGCAUAUAAGAUAGUAUGGGCAGACACUUGAAACAACAAGUUUGCAAGAGAUUGAAUGAGAGACCAUACCUGAUAUAACUUUUCCAGCAAAUCCUUCACAAACUUUGUACAGGGGCAACAGCAUAUGAUAUGCAAAGCUUUGGCAAUCAACCUCACCUUCAGGGGACAACAAUCUACUCUGAUCUAUAAGCUUUGGUGAAACUGAUUUGAAACAAUUGAAGAUAAUUCUCAUCUGCAAAAAAUUGUGCACAUUCCACAGCAUGAGAACAGGCACUCCUAGCACCAUAUAUGGGAGAGUAAGGCACAAAAUAUUUUUUUUGGAAAACAACGAGAAGGUAAAUUACAUAGCAAUGACUAGGCUAAGAAAUUUUUUGCGAGUCGAGCAAACAGAGAUAUCCUUAAUUAAUCACCCACCUGCAUAUCCUCCACAUGAAGGGAAAUCUUUCCCAUUGUCUUAAGCAAAUAAGAAAUGACCAAGUAGCGCUGGCCUUCAUCUUCUUGAUCGCUAAGGUCAGACACAAGAGACAGAUAGAUGUUUUUCCCUUUCCUUGAAUCAAGCUGUUGAAAAGCCUUAAGCAGAAGACCCUGCUCGUCAUGUUCAAUGGUGGACCAGAACUCAUCUUUACAUUCAUUUUUUCCUAAGAAUGAAUGCAGAGAGCAAAUUGAAAAGACAAGAUUUUGAGUAAUGAGAUCACUGGCAGCAUCAUCAGUCUGCAGCACCUUCAGCUGACAACAAAGAGAAGUAGCUACGAAGAAAAGUCUACUUGGCCUCAUCAAAAAGUAAGUUUCUUGUGGCAGUUCAAGGUUUUCUUUCCAAGCCUCAGUCACAGUGGCAAAGUAGCAAGCCACAAGACGGUUUGAUAUGUUGCGCAACCACAGAUGCGGAUGCAAAAGCAACUCACAGAUUGCUUCCCACAGAUCCUAUGAGAUGUCAAUAAAAAUAAUAGUCAGAAAACAAAUAUGAAUUUAUCCAAAGAACAGGACAAGUUAUUGGCAAUCUGGAAAUGGGAGUGUGGUAGCUGUGGAGCGUACUUUCCCCAGUACAACAAUAACAUACCUAGUGAAAUCCCACUAAGUGGGGUCAGGGGAGGGUAGAAUGUACGCAGUCCUUACCACUACCUCGUGGAGGUAUAGAGGCUGUCUCCGAAAAACCCUCGGCUCAAGUGCAUCAAACCAAAGUAAAAGUAUCCUCUUCAAACUUUAAGCCCAGUAUACUAUUCAAACUCUAAGCACUUGAUUUUCAAAUACUUCUUAACUUUACACCUAGUCUGUAGUUGCAACUAUCUUUUGGCAUGCUGCCUAAGUUUGAGGACUAAAGCAAUUUCACCUAAGUGGUUGUAGCCACACCAAAAAGUAAUUCAUUUCUUAAAUCUAUCACAAAGCAAAAUGAGGUCCAGCGGUUUUCACAUAAGUCCCCUCGUACAUAUGCUAAGUAGGACAUAUUAUGGAUGACUUGGUUUUAGCCCUAUAUUUUAAGACCAUAGCUAAAAUAAUGAAAUACANNNNNNNNNNNNNNNNNNNNNNNNNNNNNNNNNNNNNNNNNNNNNNNNNNNNNNNNNNNNNNNNNNNNNNNNNNNNNNNNNNNNNNNNNNNNNNNNNNNNUAUCAUAAUCAAGAUCUCCCAACUCUACAGUAGACGUGGCAUUCAAUUCACGAAGAAGAUUUGCCUGUAUGAAAUUAAGAAGUGUUACACGUCAACAAACACCUAAAGCAACAAGUUCAAAAGAAAACUAGAUGGUCUAGUAAUACCGUAGGAUGUACAGAAGAAUCAUUCCCUGCGACAGCAUCAAGAACAUCACAAAUAGAAGUACGGACAUCCAAGCCAGCAGAAAUUACGAGUGGAGAAACAGAUUUGACGGUCUUUUUACUGCUUUCACUACCCAAUGGUUCUACAAUAUCCUUAAUAAUCUGUAAAGUGCCUACACAAAUCUCUGCAACCAGAAAGAAAGGUAAUCUUAGAAAAAGAGCAAGGACAUGAGACCAAACAGGUCCACCAAAACUGUAAGACAAAACUCAGAGACUCUGACCAGGGUCUUUGGAUCUCUUUGACAGAAGCGGAAGCAAGAUGUCAAGAAACUUCCUUGCAGCCAAUGGUCCCUUUAUGUGCUUCGAUAAAAGCUUGAAGACAUUGAGCUCUUUUUCCCCAGGAUAUUUGACAAUCUUCCUGGAAAAGUGAAUACAUCAGUUAAGAGGAGAACUGAUGCUAGUGCAUCUCAUAUAACACUUAAUUACAUAAAGAGCAUGCUAAGUCCACUUAGCCAUAUAGGGUGGAUGACACAUACACAAGAAAAUAAGUAAGAAACCUACUUAUUCUCCGGAGAAGCAUUUUCCAAAAAGACAUUUUAGAGGCAUUGUUAUCAUUUGGUAGAUCCAGGUCCAUGACCUAUUUCGAUGGAACACAUUUUCCAUGGUACAUAACACAUUCUCAGAAUUUCGCUCAUUGAUAUCCAUUGAUACGGACCUCACUUGUGGGAUUUCACGGGAUGUGUUGUUGCUUGAGUUGAUAUGCCCUGCUGAAAGUCUUUGUGGGUAGGAGGGAGUAUAAGAAUGAUCCACAACUCCCGGCAAAGUUGUAACAUUACCAUGUUGAUCUAAAUGUAAUAGAUGUACUCCUAUCUUCUUUACUAUGGCUCCGCCACUGCUAUCCUCUACUCUUAUCUGUUCCCCGCCUUUGAUGUUCAGGCCUUUAAAAGGUCUAUCAUUUGCGUAAGGUAAGUAAUAUACACAUGAUACUUCUCCGUGACCAUCAGGUAUAUCAAAAGGCAAAAUCCAUGAAAAACUCUUUUUAUGGGAAACAGUAACAACAAGGUGUUCAAGCUCAUGUACAUCGCAAAGGCGGCAAACAAACCAGAGAACCAUUCCUAAGAACUUGUUAUUAUGUACUGUGGGCAUAGUCAAACAGAUAGAUGGAGCUGUUACUUUAUUGCUGCACCAAUCUGGAAUCUCAUUGCUUUCGAGAUUAAUUUGUAACAACGACUUCAUCAGACAAAUUAAGACACAAUUAGAUCAUUAAUUAUUAAUGUGAUACGAGAGAGAGAUCAGAGAGGGAGAAGGACUAACCUCAUACCAUUGAUAUUUUCUACACGAAAUUGAUAGAGCAGGGGCACUAAAGAAGCCUUCACUGAAUGGAUUCUGCAGACAAGUACAAUUAUUCAUGUCCAUCUUCUUUAUUGAAGGGAGGUUGUCCAACCCUGUAAUCUUGACCAGUUUUUGGCAAUUCCUAAGUUCAACAACUCUAAGGUACUCUAAAUUUGAUAUUGAUGGGAGUGUUUGAAGGUUCUCACAAUCAUUCAAAUACAAGGACUUCAACCAUGGUAACUUGGAAAAAUCAAAGGGUAGAUAGAGGAAACUGUUGCCGCUCAAAUCUAAAUGAUAUAAGUUGGAUAAACUCCCAAUAUCCCUAGGAACAUCAGCCUCCGAGAAACCACAAUAUGGAAGGCAUAGAAUCGAAAUAAAUUUUGACAAGGAUACUAUGGGGCGUACUCUUGUUUGAGAAAACCUCCUUUUGGUCUCUAAGUAUUGACCUCCCAUUUCCAAUUCUAUAAGAUUUCCUAGCAUUUCAACAGAUCCAGGCAAUUCUUUUAUACCUGUUUCACCUGCAUUAAGAAAUCUUAGGCUUUGCAUAUCUCCAAUGUCAACUGGCAGUGUUUGUAAAGAUGAGCAGUCAUUAAUGCUCAAGUAUUCAAGGGAUUUUAGCUGGCAUAUGCUGCUCGGAAGAUCCGUAAUCUUUUCGCAACCAUUCAAUUGAAGAUCAGUUAGUCUGUCCAAAUUUCCUAUUGAUGGAUGGAUCUCCUUAAGACUUGAGCAAUUGUCAAGCCACAAAGUCUCGAGACUUCUUGAACCACAGAAGUUUGGAGUUCUUCUGAGGUGCUUGCAAUCAGAGAGAUCCAGCAUUUUCAAAUUUCUACAAUACUAAAAGUAAACAAAAUAUUGUUUUAAUUAAGAUUUUCUUUAUCUUAAACAUAACACAUAAAAUUGCAGAAUUGAGUAACGAACCUGCAAAUUCAAACCAAAUUCUUGGAUAUUGCUCCCUUUCAUAUUCAGAACUACAAGCUUCUCAGAUGGAAAAUUUGACGGUAUACAUUUUAAAGGACAUUCUUUCCAAGACAACCAUCUGAGCUCCUUGGACAAUAGCUCAAAAUCUCCACUAAUAUGUAAGUCGUCGAUUUUAAGCACCCUAAGAUUUAUCAUUUUCUGAAAUGCUUUGGUGUUCAGCUUCACACCCUUUAAUGCCUGUCGUUCUACCACCAAUAUUUCUACAUUUUCAGAACCCUACAGUUUGGUAAAAAGAAAAGUACUAUAAGACCAUGUUAUGUAUGAUAAAUUAAGAAAGAGAAAUGCUUUAUACAAAUUGAAGGUCAAACAAAGAAAAUAAAUUAUGUACCAAUAAAAAUAAACUUACACAUUAUAUCCAACUAAAGGAUAUUUAUUUGAUAAUUUUGUCUUUGAUAGCUUGUUUAGACUUCAGUAAAUGUUCAUUUCAAGUACAGAAUGGUUCAAACAUCUAAAGAUACUUACUAACCGGAGAAGAUUUAAGCACAAAUGCAUAAAUUAUAAGCAAGUGUAUAUCAAUAUGAAAAAAGAAGAAGAAGAAGUAUAACCGAGAUAAAGAUAAUGAAAUUUACUGACUUUAUUUCCUUGUAGGACAUCAAGGACUUCUUGAGGGUUGACCAAUCUACUCCGUUUUCCAAAGUCUCGAGGUGAUUCCAUGCGAACGAUUUCUCUUCCCAUAUCCCGCACUAGAUCAUGCAUCACCAAACGACGCCGAUCCCUUUGGAGCAGGUGUCUUUUGACUAGAGUUGCAAUUGCAGUUUCACAAUAAAAACCACAGGGGUUUAAUGUUUUGGUAACUUCAUCCUCAUCACAUCCAUGGAAAGCGCACGCAAUAUCAAGGAAAACACUCUGAGUAUUGUCAUCAAGUCCAUCAAAGCUUAUUUGGAGAAUCUUUUGAAUAUCAAAAUGAGGAAUUGUUCUUAGUUUUUUGAACUCGUAUCUCCAUUCUUCAACGGAUCUCCCUUGCAGAUGUGACCCCAAUGUCACAAGAGCUAAUGGUAGCCCACCUGAAUAUUUUAUUAUGUCUUGUGCCAGCUCAACAUAUUCUUGUGGUGGAGAAAAACAGUUAAAAGCAUGACAAGAAAAGAGUUGCGGGGCUUCAUUGUCAUUUAAAAGUUUGGCCCGGUAUAUCUCACUUGUUGUAAGCCCAUAUAGCAAAUGUUCAUCUCGAGUUGUAAUAAUUAUUACACUACCAGAGCCAAACCAACUUCUUUCUCUUGUUAAGGAUUCUAAUUGGCUUCUAUGAUCCACGUCAUCAAGAAUAAUUAGAACCUUCUUUGACCCAAGUCUUGCUUUGAUUAGACUAACACCUUCAGCAACACUAUCAACUUCAAAUUCCUUAGUUUUGAGGAUUUGAUGAAGUAGUUUCUCUUGUAGCUUGACUAGAACAUAUUCUUCAACUUUUGAUCUUAUGUCUGAAAGGAAGCAACUACCGUCAAACUGUUGAAAUAUUCGAUUGUAGAUAGCUUUUGCCAAAGUUGUUUUCCCAAUUCCACCAACGCCACAUAUACCAACCAUGCGAACUUCAUGCUCACAUCCACUUUGCAGUAACACCUCUAUAUGUUUGAUAGGAGAAUCUAAUCCAAUUGGGUAAUGAGCAACAUCUAGAGGUGUUGGGUUAACCUCUUGCAGAACUUGUUUUAUAAUACUUUCAAUAAACUUUGAUUCAUGCCUACAGUUUUUGCAACAAUAAAUACUCAAGUAUUUUAAAUUAUUUGAUGAACAAAAUGAAAAUCAAUAGCCAAAAGAUAACAGAGUUUAUAGAAUGGAGAUUAUCCCUUGUCCCAAUCUACGGUUUGAUUUGACACGAAAUUUAAGAAAUAUAAAAAGACUUUACAAUGUUCCAAAAUUAACCAAGUUUUAAGCUUAGGCAAAUGCUUAAAUUCAAAAUUUAAUAGUUGAAUUAAGAAGUCUUACCCAUCAGCAACAUUUCUUAAAUCCCAUCCAGAUAAAUUUGCUGCUUCAGUAAGUGCAGCUUUCCACUUUUCCAUUCUUUCAGCUCCAACCAAUCGUUCCUUGUGUUUUGCCAAAGCUUCGUCAAAGGACGAAGUUUGCCUUCGCACUUGAGAAGGAUCAACAUCAUAGAAAAUAGGCAAAACUACCUGCUUUAACCUCUGUUUGCAAUCGAGAAUUUUGACAAGUUCAUCAAGACACCAACUAGACGAAGCAUAAUUUUUGGAGAAAACAACAAUGGCAACCCUAGAUUGUUCAAUUGCUUUCUUAAGUUCAAUUGAAAUUUCGUCUCCUUUUCUCAAUUCCUCAUCAUCUAUGAAAGUAUUAACUCCGACUUGAUACAAUCUGAAAUAAAGAUGACCUGUGAAGUUUUUGCGAGUAUCUUCACCUCUGAAACUGAGAAACACAUCAUAACAUAAGUUGGAAGAAGAAGAUGAUUCUCCUUGAGUAUUCAUAUUUGAUGACAAUAAAUUAAAGAGAUUUUUAGUCAAUUUUUUUGUUUAAUUAAUUAAAUAGAGAUGUGAAGCAGCUCUUUAUAUGCCCACAAGUAAUUGUUUGUUCCUGGAAAUUUAAUUUUGGGUCAACUCAUUUACAGGCCCCAAAGAAGGUUAACAGAAAUGUAAGGGAAGUUUCCAAGAUAUUUCAUAGACAUGUUGCGUUCAAUUUUAUAUGUUAUAAUAUUAAAAAUAGAUAUACAAUUUACUUCCACUUCUUCCGUAGAUUUUUACUUGUUCACAUUAUAAACUAUAGUGAUCAUUUUUAUUUGUACAAUUUAAAAAUAAUCAAAAAUAAGAACUUUUAAUUUAUUUAUUUUAAAAUGUGUCAUACUUCCAAUAAUUCACUUAUGAACCAGUGAGAGUAGAUAAUGAGUGACUUGCUUUCACAUUUAUUGUCAGCACAACUCUAUCAGUCUUCUUUUUUUUUCAUCACUUUCACACUAUCGACAAGUGGAUUGACAUUACCAUGUUGGUCUAAAUAUAGCAGAUGGAUCCCUAUCUUUUUUAUUGCAUCUUUGCGAAAGAACAAAUAGUCAGACUCGUGAACUGUUACCUUUGAUCAUCUGGUCAACAAAAGGACUAGUUAAGCAAGAUAUGUAAUAUACACAUGAUACUUCUCUGUAUUGUCCGAUCGAGUAUAUCAAUAUCACAAAUUCUUGACAUAGAUACUCUCUCUCUAUCGGAUACAGCAAUACUGAAGCGUCCAAAAGUGGAUGAAAGUCUCUUAAAGUCGCAAAAAAAAACAGAGAAUCAUUCCUAAGAACUUGUACCCCUUAUCAUGUACUGUGGGCAUAGUGAAACAGAUAGAUGGAGAUGUUACUUUAUUGCUGCACCAAUCUGGAAUAUCAUUGCAUUCGACACAAAUUCGUAAAACUUGCUUCUUCAGAGUGUGAAAUGACAGAGCCUGGGCACCUUGAUUGAACGAUCUCCUUCAUCCUUGAGCAACCUUGAAGCUUCAAAGUCUCGAGACUUGUUGCACCGUUGAAGUUUGGAGUUUUUUUGAGGGCCGAGCACCAAGAGAUAUUCAGCUCCUUCAACCUUGGGCAACACUAAAUGUCAACCAAGUACAUUAAUAUUCAAGUUAUACAAGACUAUUUUGUAUAAUUUCACUAGUCAAUGAAAAAUGUAGAAUUGGGCAACAAAUUAAACCUGCAAAUUCAAGCCAAAUUUUUCGAUAGCACUCCCUUCCAUAUUAAGAACUACAAGAUUCGCAGCUGGAAAAUUUGGUGGAAUAUAUUUUAAAUGACAUCUUUGCCAAGAUAACCAUUUGAGCUCCUUGGGAAAAUGCCACAAAUCUCCAUGAAUACGUAAUCCAUUGAUUAUAAGCACCCUGAGUUUCUUCAUUUUCUUAAAUGCAUCGGUGCUAAACUCCACUCCCUCUAAUUCCCCUGGUUCAUCUAACCUCAUUACUUGUACAUUUCCGAAACUCUGUAGUUCAGAGAAAAUGUUUUAAUUAGGACUAAGAAUUGUAACACGACAUACAAUUAAAUUAAAAAGGAACAAGGAUUUACUCACGUUUUUUCCUCGUAAAACAGCACAGACUUGUUGAGGUAUGAAUAAUCUACUCCGUUCUACAAGGCAUUGAGAUUCUGAGCGAACAAUUUCUCUUCCCAUAUCUCGCACUAGAUCAUGCAUACUUACACAACCCCCAAGUACCCCUUGGAGCAACUGUUUUUGGACUAAAGUUGCAAUUUCACAUUUAGUGUGAAAACCACAUGCAUUUAGUAUUUCAGUUUUCUUGAGAGUCUUUUGGAUAUCAUCAUGAGGAAUUUCUUUUAGUCUCUUGAAUUUGCGUCUCCAGUUUUCUAUGGAUUCCCCUCGAAAAUGUGAACCCAAUGUCACAAGUGCUAAUGGUAGCCCACCUGAAUAUUUGAUUAUGUCUUUCGUCACCCCAACAUAGUCUUUAGGUGGAGAAAGACUGUCAAAAGCAUGACGAUAAAAAAGUUGCUGAGAUUCAUUGUCAUUUAAUUGGUUGAUCAUACAUCUUUUUGCAUUAAGCCAACUUAGCUAAAGCUCGUCUCGGAUUGUAAUAACUAUUAUACUACCCAAACCAAACCAUUUCUUUUCUUUUGUUAACGAUUCUAAUUGUUUUUUUGUGUCCACUUCAUCAAGAACAAUUAGAACCUUCUUUGACCCCAGUUUUCUUUUGAUUAGAUUGAUUCCUUCAGCAACACUGCGAACUUUGUACUCGUUGGUUUUGAACAGUAUAUUGAGAAGUUUCUCUUGUACACUUUCUAGACCAAUCUUUUUUUCUAGCAAUCUAACAUCAGAAAGGAAGCAACUACCAUCGAAGAUAAAUAAUCGAUUGUAGAUAUUUUUGGCCAGAGUUGUUUUCCCGAUUCCACCAACUCCAUAUAUACCAACCAAGUGAACUUCAUCUACGUGUCCAUUUUGCAAUAACGACUUUAUAGGUUUAGUACGAGAAUCAACUCCAAUUGGGUAAGAAGCAACAUGUAGAGGUGUAUGGUUGACCUCUUUCUUCAUAUCUUGUAUAAUCAUUUCAAUAAAUUCAGCUUCAUGCCUACCAAUAUUUUUACCAAAAAACACUCACAUGAUGGGAGGUGUUACGCUUUAAAAUAGUUGCCUAUCUAUGGAUGGCAAUGGGGCGGUGCGGGACGGGGCGCGUUGAGCUUAAUCUAUAAAAAAUUUAAUUCGCUCUGCAUAACAAUUUUUUUCAUUUUCAACCUGCCCCGCAUGAAACUCCCCACAUAGUUUUUUUAAUAUUUUUCUUUUCUAGUUAAGUUUGACACUAAAAAUAAAAUUCAUAAAAAUAAAUUCAUUUUUUCAUUAAGUUGUAUUAAUUUAAUAGAAAAUGACCUAAAUUUUAUUUUUUAGAAGUCAAUUGGUAAACAUGUAAGAAAUUGUAUUAAUUUUUAUUGAAUCAUUUUCAUUUACCAUCUUGAAUAUUUUAGUAGCUUUAGAGAAAUUAUCUUAAUAAAUAAUGUUCUAUCACUCUUAUAGCAUGUAAAAAGUUAAAAUUAAAUUGAAUCCACAUAAUGCCACAUAUUCCGGCAACCCCGUCCCACAUAGCCUUAAAUCCACUCCAUCCCGCAUCCGCCCCGUUUCAUUGUUAUCUAUGGCUAUCAAACGACCCAAAAUUGUUAACAGAAAUAAAAAGGAAGUUUCCUAAGAGGUACUUUCUCUUUUGGGUAAUAACCAUAGUUAAUAGUAUAAUUAAAAACAUUACAUUUCAUCCUUGUAGGAAAUUACUUAUGGGGUUCUUGAUAGGCAAUCUUACUGUGGAGGAAAGUUGAUAGAAAUUGAAUGGAAACAUUCAAAUUCUUUUUCUUUUUAAUUGAAUGGUUUUCACAUUCUAAAUUUUCUCUACCCACCAAAGGUCAAUUCUAAUAGUGGUUGCAUCUUGAAUUGGACCCUUUUUAUUUUUAAACAAAUUUCUUAGUACACAAAACAAAUAUAUUGCUUACUUUAAAAGCAAGGUAUCAUAAAUUCACGUCGAAACAUUGUACUUGCCCUUUAAAAUUUUACAACUUAUGAUUUUCAUCUUUUUUUAAAAAAAAUAAUGCAAGAAAUAUGUCAUGAUGUUCCACUAUGCCUUUAUAAAUCUCCAUUUAUCUUUGUUUUGUUUGUUUAAUCGAAAUUUAAUCUUCUUACUGUUACGAUUACCAGAUUUUACACACUACUUGCCUAUUCUUUCUUCUUCUAACCUUUUCUUUUCCUUUUUGAAUAUUUUCUUUUAAUAUUAGUAUUUCUUUUGAAUGGUCUAACCAGUAGUUGAACUUAGAAGCUUUCUUUGGUUAUGAAACCAAAUUAAUAUUAUUUACCUUAUUUAGAGGUAUUGCCACUAUAAGUAAUACAACGAUUAACUAUUUUAUGCAAAACUUUCGUAAAUGUGCUUUUACAUAAAUUUCCAUUCAGUGUGACACACACGAAGUAAAACCACAUGUUUCUUCUUUUUGCAUUCCAAAAAAAAGGAAGAAUAUUCUUCUCCAUUACUAAAAAUCAAUAAAUUACACAGUUCAAUCACUUACAAUGUUCCCUGGCAUUGCAUGUUAAUCAAAGAGACACUAUAUUCACUAUACAAUGAAAAAGUUGAUUCAAUUUUUUAAACUAAGCUUAGUGCAACUCAACAUACUACCACUAUACAAUGGAAAAUUUGGUUACAUAAAUUAAACAAAAUUUUCUAUAGAAGCUACUGCCUAUAUCGAACAACAAAAUUUUCUAUAGAAGCUACUGCCAUCGAAGAUCGAUGCUCAAUUGUUCAUACCUAAUAAUGGCUUUGUAGCCCUAUAAUAGUACACAUUCUACUACAUCCAUCUUCCCAUCUUCAUUGACAUCAUUUUCCUCUUCUUGUGUGCUUUAUGCUUUUCUGCAAUCCUCAGCUUCCUCUUGGCAUUUCUCAUUGGAUUAACCACAGCAAUGACCUUCUCUUCUUGUUUCCUCUUAUCCCUCUUCGAUUUGAUAUUCUUCCUUAUAUGACUGUAAAUUUGGACAAAAAUAUGUGUUCCUAUAACAUUGCUUAUGCUCCCUCGCACUCCUUCAGCCAGUUGUUUCACGUCGUCUGUGGAGAUGAUGCAAACGUAAUCAUCAAAUAUAUUAAGGACUACAAAGUUUAAUCACUCGGAAGCCAAAGAGGAAGUGAAGAACAUUUGUAAAUGCAGCUAGCACUUUGCAUAUAUGAUAGUAUGGACAGACACUUGAAACAAUAAGUUUGCAAGAGAUUGAAUGAGAGACCAUACCUGAUAUAACUUUUCCGGCAAAUCCUUCACAAACUUUGUACAGGGGCAACAGCAUAUGAUAUGCAAAGCUUUGGCAAUCAACCUCACCUUCAGGGGACAACAAUCUACUCUGAUCUAUAAGCUUUGGUGAAACUGAUUUGAAACAAUUGAAGAUAAUUCUCAUCUGCAAAAAAUUGUGCACAUUCCACAGCAUGAGAACAGGCACUCCUAGCACUAUAUAUGGGAGACUAAGGCCCAAAAUAUUUUUUUUGGAAAAACAACGAGAAGGUAAAUUACAUAGCAAUGACUAGGCUAAGAAAUUUUUUGCGAGUCGAGCAAACAGAGAUAUCCUUAAUUAAUCACCCACCUGCAUAUCCUCCACAUGAAGGGAAAUCUUUCCCAUUGUCUUAAGCAAAUAAGAAAUGACCAAGUAGCGCUGGCCUUCAUCUUCUUGAUCGCUAAGGUCAGACACAAGAGACAGAUAGAUGUUUUUCCCUUUCCUUGAAUCAAGCUGUUGAAAAGCCUUAAGCAGAAGACCCUGCUCGUCAUGUUCAAUGGUGGACCAGAACUCAUCUUUACAUUCAUUUUUUCCUAAGAAUGAAUGCAGAGAGCAAAUUGAAAAGACAAGAUUUUGAGUAAUGAGAUCACUGGCAGCAUCAUCAGUCUGCAGCACCUUCAGCUGACAACAAAGAGAAGUAGCUACGAAGAAAAGUCUACUUGGCCUCAUCAAAAAGUAAGUUUCUUGUGGCAGUUCAAGGUUUUCUUUCCAAGCCUCAGUCACAGUGGCAAAGUAGCAAGCCACAAGACGGUUUGAUAUGUUGCGCAACCACAGAUGCGGAUGCAAAAGCAACUCACAGAUUGCUUCCCACAGAUCCUAUGAGAUGUCAAUAAAAAUAAUAGUCAGAAAACAAAUAUGAAUUUAUCCAAAGAACAGGACAAGUUAUUGGCAAUCUGGAAAUGGGAGUGUGGUAGCUGUGGAGCGUACUUUCCCCAGUACAACAAUAACAUACCUAGUGAAAUCCCACUAAGUGGGGUCAGGGAAGGGUAGAGUGUACGCAAUCCUUACCACUACCUCGUGGAGGUAGAGAGGUUGUUUCCCUAGUCUCAAGUGCAUCAAACCAAAGUAAAAGUAUCCUCUUCAAACUUUAAGCCCAGUAUACUAUUCAAACUCUAAGCACUUGAAUUUCAAAUACUUCUUAACUUUACACCUAGUCUGUAGUUGCAAACUAUCUUUUGGCAUGCUGCCUAAGUUUGAGGACCAAAGCAAUUUCACCGAAGUGGUUUUAGCCACACCAAAAAGUAAUUCAUUUCAUAAAUCUAUCACAAAGCAAAAUGAGGUCCAGUGGUUUUCACACAAGUCCCCUCGUACAUAUGCUAAGUUGGACAUAUUAUGGAUGACUUGGUUUUAGCUCUCCUAUAUUUUAAGACCAUAGCUAAAACAAUGAAAUACAGCAGCACUAGCACUAAUGAAAUAAAGGAUAGAGAGAGAAAAUAUAGUAAUUUUUUUCUUUCUACAGAGACUAAUAUCCAUUCUAUAGAGGAUAGAUAUAGAAGAUAUUUUAUCUUUUUAAAUUCUACAAAAACAAACAUCCAAUAUGUGCUAUAGAGUAUCAAAACAAUGUCUCAAAGGCAAUUCAACCAGUUAUGAAUAUCCAUUAGCUCCAUUUUAUCCCAAUAGAAUAAGUCUGGAUGGCAGGCAAAUCUUAUAAAUGUUCAUAUGUUGUUGUUGUUGUCUUAUUUACAGAAGUAAUCAGUUAGUACCUAGUAGUAGUCACUUUAAUUUCUAACAUAGGAUUAAAAGAAAGGAAUAAAUACCUCAAGAUCCUUUCUGAAGCACAACUUAGGAAAUUGAUUUAAUAUCUUCUCAAACAGAACCAGUGAAUAAUAUGCUUCUUUCCAAGAUGAAAUCGUUGCAUCAUUCGGUAGAUCCACUUGCUUAUUUGUAAGAACAUUAACAGCAGAUUGCAAGAUGUUUCUCAUAACAGGUAGGAGGCUAUCAAUAUACUUUUGGAAACCAUCUUUAAGUCCUUCAAUGAGUAACCCCAAAACCUGUAAAAGAAAUAAUGAAGUCUUGAAACAUGUUUUUCUAUUUUUUGAUGAGGAAGGAGUUAUAUCUCAGAUUCAUGACAAAAUAAUGACGUCAGUUUUUGUCCAUUCUUCCGGCUAUUUAAUUCAUAGUUCAUAUACAUAAACGAAUAUGAAAAAAGUGAAUGACAUAUGGAACUUGUAAUCCUUCUUCGGUAUUUCCAAACUUGCUCCACGAUGGCAUAAUGUAGUUGAAUAAAAGAACAGUUUGGGGUUUUCACUCGUUUACCUGUGCUGCAGCACUCCAUAAAUGUGGUUUAUCUCCCAGAUACCAGGACCGACUAAACUCAAGAAUUGACUGGAGUGAACGGGGGCUGACUCGUCCAACAAGUAACUUUAUGACUGUACCAGUCAUUGAACGGACUCUGUUGUCACGAUCAUUCGCCAGACAAACCACCAAAUGCAGAAAAAACGUCUGAGAUUGUUCAUCUAUGAUGCUAACUGGGAAUUUCAUUAUAACAGCAUGAAGCAUUUCAAGGAUAGCUUCUCUUCCAGUUGAAUGCUCAUAUCUGAAAAAUUCAAAAACAUCAUUACAGAGAUGUCACCAUCUAUAAAUUUUACCAAAUGAAAUUAUUGAUUGUGCCCUUAUGUCCUUGCCUUAAGUUUGAAAGUAAGAAAUCAAGAUGUUGUUGAAGACGUUUCUCAGAUAUAUGGUAGUCCAGUAAAAACUGCAGCAAAAUUUGGCUGCUUUUCUUACGAAUUGAUUCAACUUGACUAGUCACCAUCAACACUGCAAGAUUUCUGCAACUACCAACUUCCUACUCACUAUUGCUUUCAACAGUGAGAGAGCCACAAAAGAGGGAUUUCUUUCAAGAUCAACAAAAAGAGGAAACUGGAUUAGCAUAUGCAGUUGAUCAGUAGAAAGUGUGAUCUUAGUGCUACGCAAAAGCACAGUUAGCAACUUAACGCAAGACUCCAAUAAUGGAUUACUGGAAGUUACUGAACCUUGAGCAAUAUUCAGUAAUGAAUUCUUUAUCUUCUCUGCCUGAGAUUCAAGAGAUGGCAAAGGGAGCCUCACCAGAGGAGAUAAGCACCUAAGUGAGGCAGACAUGACAUUCUCAUAUUUUGAGUUUAAGCAUUCACCCAAUAAUCUUACAAAUGGAUCUAGCAUUGACAACAACUGCUCAUCUUUCUUGUCAAAUUUCAUGUUCUUCAUGUAAUUCUGAAGCACUCCAAGAGCAAAUUCAGUAAUAAGAUGGGAAUAUCGUGGAUCAACGCUGACCAACUUAUCUGAUUUAGCAAUCUGGCUGCUUACUCCAUCUUUCUUUUGCUUACCUUCCAUUAAAGUCGAUGUCUCUGCAUGCCCUGGAGAUUCAUCUUUUAUGCCAUCUUUGAUCAGACCAUAUUCAUAGAUAAAGAGUUCUGUCUGGUUAACGGAAGGAUUACACUGUAUUCCAGCAGCUAUAUGAGAGAACAUAUUCUCAAAUUUUGAUUUUACUUUUGGAGUCAGCUGCUUCUGUAGAUGCUUAAGAAUUGGCGCAAGCAGCUUCAGAGCAUGUGUUUUGAAUGUGAUGCUUUGGGCAAUCAAUUUAAGGGUAUCAUAUGACUUCUGCUUCCUAGUCUCUUCCAUCUUUGAAGCAAUCUUCUCAACCUCUUUCUCCUCUGAAAUAUCACUAAGUAUAUCAUUUAUUGCAAUCGAGAGAAGAUCCUCUAAACAAAAAUCCAGCUUCCCACUACUGGGAUUUAGAAGAAAUUUUGAUAGUAGAAAAUUGAGAGUGAAUCCCAAAACAUGCAAUUCAAAUCCUCUCUUCAGAGUGCCUCUCAAGACUUUGACAACAAAUUGCAAGUACUCCAGCCCUAGUUCUUUUAAACAAGCAGCCAAAGCAGCUCUGGCUUCAUCACGAACACUUUCCAAACGAUUCUUAAGGAAAUUCGCUAUGCGAUGCAUCAUAGAUGGAAGGUGCGAUUCCAUGAUGUCUCCCGAAAUUCCGCAAUAACACCUUUUGUUUAUCUGGUUUCAGUGUCAUCUCCCGAAAGCAUCUAUUGAGUAAUGCAUAAUACAAUCUCCAGUCCAUGAAUUUAGAAAUUGAUCCAACAGCUUCCAAACAUGCACUUCUAAUAUUUUCACCCUUUCCAACUUGUCCAUCAACCAACAUUUUAAAGAGAAGAGGGAUAAACACUUUAUUUAUGAGAACCUGCACCAGAAUUAUUCCCAACUAUUAGUACAGCUUAGCAACACAGAGCACAAAUUGAUGCUUAAAGAAAAAGGCAAGUAACCACCUUAGACAGAUUCCCGGAAUAUGUAACUCAUCGAUUUUAAGCACCCUCAAAUUUUUCAUUUUCUUAAAUGUCUUGGUGCUCAGGUUCGCGCCUUUUAAUUCCCCUGGAUCUACCACCAGUACUUCUACUUUUUCGGAACCCUGUAGUUUCAGCACAUAUUAAUUGAACAAAAGCAAUUAUAAGCAAAUAUUUAUCAAAUUAUUGAAAAAAAUUAAAAUCACGAAAGAUAAAGAAUCUACUGACUAUAUUUCCUUGUGGAACAUCUCGGACUUCUUGAGGUUUGAACAAUCUACUCUGUUUUCCAGAGUCUCAAGGUGAUUCCAUACGAACAAUUUCUCUUCCCAUAUCUCGCACUAGAUCAUGCAUCAUCAAAUAACGCCAAUCCCUUUAGAGCAAGUUCCUUUGGACUAAGGUUGAAAUUGCACUUUCAGAAUAAAAACCACACGCAUUUAAUGUUUUGAUAACUUCAUCCUCAAAAAAUCCAUGGAAGGCACACACGAUAUCAAGGAAAACACUUUGAGUAUCACAAUCAAGUCCGUCAAAGUUUAUCUUGAGGAUCUUUUGAAUAUCACAAUGAGGAAUUGCGUAUCUCCAUUCUUCUACGGAUCUCCCUUGUAAAUGUGACCCCAAUGUCACAAGAGCUAACGGUAGCCCACCUGAAUAUUUGAUUAUGCUUUGUGCAAGCUCAACAUAUUCUUGUGGCGGAGAAGGACUACUAAAAGCAUGACAAGAAAAAAGUUGUUGAGCUUCAUCUUGAUUUAAAAGUUUUGCCUUGUAUCUUUCAUUUUCUCUAAUCCGAGAUAACAAAUGCUUGUCUCGGGUUGUAACAAUUAUUAAACUACCAGAGCUAAACAAACUUCUGUCUCUUGUUAAGGAUUCUAAUUGGCUCAUAUGAUCCACUCCAUCAAGAAUAAUUAGAACCUUCUUUGACCCAGGUCUUGCUUUGAUUAGAUUGACGCCUUAGCAACACUACUAACUUUGACGUCCUUAGUUUUGAGAACUUGAUUUAGUAGUUUUUCUUGUAACGUGACUUGACCAAAUGCUUCAGCUUCUAAUCUAACAUCUGAAAGGAAGCAACUACUAUCAAAUUGUCGAAAUAUUUGAUUGUAGAUAGCUUUAGCCAGAGUUGUUUUCCCUAUUCCACCUACGCCCAUAUAUACCAACCAUACGAACUUCAUCUGCACUUCCUUUUGGAGUAACAACUCUAUAUCUUCGACACGAGAAUCUACUCCAACAGGGUGCCAAGAAACAUCUAGAGGUGUCUGGUUUACCUCUUGUAGAACUUGUUUUACAAUACUUUCAAUAAAUUUUGAUUCAUGUCUGUAUAUUACCAAAAACAACAGUUAGAAUUAAAAAAAAAAACAACUUUGAUAUGUGGAAAAAAAAUAAUUGAUAACCAACUUAUGACUUUUGACUGAUAAGUCAGUGUGACCAGCUUAUAAAUAUUACCCGUCAACAACAUUUGCAAAUCCCAUCCAGAUAAAUUUGCAGUUUCAGUAAGUGAAUCCGUCCAUUUUUUCAUUCUCUCAACCUCGAAUGAUCGUUCCUUAAGCAUAGCCAAAGCUUCACCAAAGCAUCCGGUUUGCUUGCGUACAUGAAAAGGAUGAACAUCAUAGAAAAUAGUCAAAACUAUUUGCUUUAACUUCUCUUUGCAUUCAAGAAUUUUAACAAGUUCAUCAAGACACCAACUAAACGAAGCAUAAUUUUUCGAGAAAACAACAAUGGAAACUCUAGAUUCUUCAAUUGCUUUCUCAAGUUCUGUUGAAAUCACCUUACCUUUUCUUAAUUCCUCGUCAUCUAUGAAGGUAUUAAUUCUGACUUGACAUAAUCUAGAAUAAAGAUGACCUGUGAAGGUUUUUCGAGUAUCUUCACCUCUGAAACUCAGAAACACAUCAUAAGAGAAGUUGGAAGAAGUAGUUGAUGAUUCUCCUACAACAAAUUGAGUAUUCAUAUUUGAUGUGAAUAAAUGGAAGAAUGAGUAGCUAUAUAUAUAAUAUACCAUGCACAUUCUAUGGUUUUUUCUUGGUAACUUAACUAAUGCUAUAUAUUCUUUAAUUUAUUUUGUACAAUUAUUCUUCAUUAAAUUUUGUUAAUUGGGAUUUUUUUUAAAUUGAUUCUUUACCUUUUGUCUCAUCUUUAAUUUGUUAAAGACUUGAAUGAUAAAAAUUUAAAGUAAGAUUCUUUCUUCCUUAACAACUCAAAAGUUCAUCUCUCCACAUAAUUAUGAUGAUGUUAAGCUUGAUGUCAUAAUCUUUUAAUAAUGGAAUUGAAAACAUCGAUUUGUUCUCAAUUCACAAGUUGGAUUAAACGUUUUUUUUCUUUCUUUUUACCUAAGUAUCACAUAAAUUAUAACGAUAAUUUUUUAAAAGAAAAACAAUUUGUAUUAAUAGUAAAAACUAGGAAACUUUGUCGUAAUAAAGCUAACUACUAGUCUAUUGCAACUAUUAAACAACUAGAGCUAUCAAUAUGGGCUGACCCAUCCCAUCCGGGUUAAUCUAUACAGGUUUUGAAAUAUGACGGGUUAGGCCGGGCUAGCCCAUUUUUGGUGUGGGCCAGAAAAUGGUCGGUCCAACCCACAAGUACGUGGGCUAGGGGCUUGUCGGGCCAGCCCUCUUUUCGUAAAAGUAUAUUUUUUAUAAUUUUUUAAAUUAAAUUAUAAUUUAAAAAUAUUAUCAUAAAUAUCGACAAGAUAGUAUUACACGGUGUUAGUGUUGACACCUAAUUUUGACCCUCCACAAUAAGAAUUAAUUUGUGAGCUUUCUUAAUUCCAAACGAUUUGAAAUAACUAAUUUUAUAAAAAUUCAAAAUAUGUUUCAAAGAUAUUUUAGGAAUUUUAUUCACUUUUAUAAUAUUUUAAAUAAUAAAUAUGUUUUAUAUUGUUACGUAUGUAACUAAUAUAUUUUAUAAACACUUGAAAAAUAUCUUGAAAAAGAUUUUUUUUUUUUUAUUAUUAUUAUCAUUUAUUUUUAACGUUAAACACUUUACUAAUUUAAUUUAGUUUGAAUUAUAGGUAUGUUUUUGAAUUAAUUAGUUUGAUUGAGUUAAUUAUUUUUUAGUUUGUUAAAUUUAAGAAGCUUGUUAAUUGAUCUUGUUUAAAUUCAUCUCAUUUAGCUUUUGCCGAAUUUGCUAAUUAAAUCCGAUUUAGCUAACUUCCUAAUUCCCAUUAGGUCAUAAUUGCUUCCAUGUGGCUUAAGCCAAUUUAAAUCUCACUUGGACCAAAUCUAAGAUCAGACUUGGGCAUGUCCUCAAUUUCCAAUUCCCAAGCUCAUUUCCCCUUUGGUUUCCAAUUAAGCCGAGCCCAACCCAUCCUUCUCCAAAUUUCCCGACCCAAUCCAACACAACUGACCCGACCCGGCCCAUUCCAACUCUAAAAGAAACUCAAAUGUCCUUCUCUUUUCCAAGGUCCCAGAAGCAGUUCCAAACGUUCACAGACCGACAAAGCAACAGCAGUCCACGGCAUCCUCACGAUGAGAGACGAUUCCAAAGGAAUCAACACGGAAUAUUCGAAUCACAAUAACCAACGACGUCAAUUCCGAUACACGGCGUGAAAGCAUGGAGAUACACGCAAGCAGUGAGGAACGAGACGGACAGAGGGCAGUACUAUUCCUUGUCUUCUUCCUCCAAUGUCUCUCUCAACCAGUACUAUGGCAGUAGCACGCGGUUUUCACCUUUCCUCUUUCGGAAUGGGGCGAAAACCUCAGAAGAAGGGUGUGUGUCCGAAUUUGUGAAAGGUUUUUGGAAUUCAAAUUUAUGGGACUUGAAUCCGAAAUUGCAUUUGUCCUUUCCCCCCACAAUCUACCCUAAUUUUCCCAUAUAUAAUCAUCUCUUCUAUUAAGUCUUAAGAAGUCAUUAAGUCGGUUAGUUAGCUCAUUAAUUUAAUAGUCAGUUAGUUAGUUAUUAAAAUCUGUUGUAACUAACUACACUGCUUGUAACUAACUACACUGCAGAAAGCCAGCUAAGGCAUCGUGUAUAAAUAGACAUUCAAUUGUCAUUGUUGACACAAGAAAUAAAAUUCCUUUCUAUCCUUUGUUCAAAGUGCUCUCAAUUCAAUUGUUCAUCAUCUGUGAUUGAUGAAAGUUAACAUGGUAUCAGAGCAGUGAUCAUAAGGGAUUGAUCUGCGUAGAAGAGAAGAACCCAGAGGUGCUGAGAAGCUGUAGAAGAAGCUCCUGAAACAAGCAUCAAUGGGGACUAAUGAAGUUACAGAUCUAAGUACAACAAUAGGAACAAAUGAGAUUACAACUCUAAAUCACAAUCACCCGCUUUAUCUCCAAGCUUCAGAUGCACCUGGAGUAGUUCUGGUUCCAAUCAAAUUAACAGGGCCAGAAAAUUACGCUUUAUGGAGCCGAUCGAUGAAAUUGGCUCUUAGAGGAAAAGGGAAACUUGGAUUCAUUGAUGGAUCUUGUGCGAAGACAACUUAUAAAGGAGGAUUAGAGGAACAAUGGGAGAAGUGCAAUGCAAUAGUACUGUCAUGGAUUGCGAGCACAGUUACGAGUGAAUUACUGCCAGGGAUUAUAUACGCUUCAAAUGCUAAGAGAGUUUGGGAAGAUUUUCAGGAGAGAUUUGAUAGAUCAGAUCUCACUAGAAUUUACCAUUUGUGGUCAGAAAUUGCAGCUCUCAAACAAGGUACUGAUUCUGUGACCUCUUACUACUCGAAAUUGAGAGAUUUAUGGGCUGAAUUAGAAGUAAUGGUUCCAUCACCUGGUUGUACAUGUGCGGAUUCAACUUCUUAUAUGGAGCAUUUAAGAUCUCAGAAACUGUUGCAAUUCUUAAUGGGAUUGAAUGAGAGUUUUGGACAUAUCCGGAGUAGCAUUCUAGCUAGGAAGCCUGUAGUGACAGUAAAUGAAGCAUAUGCAGUUGCAGCACAAGAAGAAAGUCAAAGAGUCCUAGGUGUUUUGGAUAAAAGCAGGGAUCCGUUAACACUUUUAGCAGGGAAAACUCAAGGAUAUAGAUCAAAGCCAAAGAAGUUUGUGCCACCAGGAACAAUUUGCGAUCAUUGUGGUUUCAAAGGCCAUUUCAAGGGUGAUUGUUAUAGGUUGGUAGGGUAUCCACCAGAUUUUCAAAGCAAGAGAAGAGGACCUGAUGGUUUUAAGCCAGAUUUCAAGCCAAAUGCACACUUAAGUAAGAAUACUGAUGAUCUCACCAACAGAGGAAAGCUUACUGAAAAUUAGGGGUCAUCAUCUCAAUAUGAGGAUUUGGGAAACAAAGUGGGUCGAGCAGGAAUAUCAGGAUGUGUUGCUAACUUGUCAGGUAUGAAUUCUUUAGAUUUCAAAACAGACACAGUUUAUGAGUGGAUAAUUGAUAGUGGAGCUACACAUCAUAUUACACCUAAUGAGGAGUUAUUAAUUGCCAAUAAAAGAACACAUAAUAGUGUUGGAGUUCAAGUUCCAACAGGGAAGAGGUGUGACAUCAAGAGUAUUGGAGUUGUGAAGAUUUUAGAAGGGGAAGAACUUCAGAAUGUGUUGUAUGUGCCAGAUUUCAAAUUUAGCUUGUUAUCAGUUGCAAAGCUAACCAGGGAACUUGCUUGUUCAGUUUCUUUCUAUCCUGACUAUUGUAUAUUUCAGGGACUUUACAAUGGCAAGGUAUUGGGGAUUGGUAAAGAAAAGGAAGGACUAUACAUACUAGAGAAUCAACUAAGGUCAAUAGUUCAUGCUGUGACUGUUGACAAGGGGAAUGGAGAUACAAAGCUAUGGCACUUAAGGCUAGGACAUGCUUCACCUGGAGUUCUAAAACACAUCCAGUCUUUGAAACAUCUCUCAAAUAAAGAGGUGCAACAUAACUGUGAGAUAUGUCCUUUAGCAAAGCAAUGUAGAUUGAAAUUUCCUAUUAGUACAAGUAAAACAUUUGGAGUUUUUGAACUGGUUCAUGUAGAUGUUUGGGGACCAUAUAGAAAGCCUACUUUUGACAAGAAAUAUUAUUUUGUUACUAUAGUAGAUGACUAUAGCAGGUACACAUGGUUAUGUCUCAUUCAUUCCAAGAGUGAAGUCAUUGUAGUACUCAAAGAUUUCAUUGCUUUAAUAAAAAAUCAGUUUGGCUUGUCUGUGAAAGCUUUAAGGUCUGAUGAUGGUACCGAAUUUUUCAGUUCAUCAGUUGUUGAUUUACUUGCUUCAUGUGGUAUUGUACAUCAAAGUAGUUGCGUUUAUACCCCACAACAGAAUGGUACAGUAGAAAGGAAACACAGACAUAUCUUGGAAGUUGCAAGGGCUUUAAAGUUUCAAAGCUCUCUUCCUAUUCAUUUUUGGGGUGAGUGUGUUAGGACUGCUGUGUACUUGAUAAAUAAAUUGCCUACUGAAGUGCUGGGAGGGAGAUCACCUUAUGAGAUGCUACAUCAGAAAAUACCUGGUAUUGAUCAUUUAAGAGUGUUUGGUUGCCUAUGCUAUGCAACUAGGUUGCCUAAAGGAGAUAAGUUUGCCCCUAGAGCUAGAAAGUCAGUUUUUCUAGGAUAUUCUGAAGUUCAAAAGGGUUACAGAUUAUAUGAUUUAAUUGAGCAGACAUUCUUUGUGAGCAGAGAUGUGGUCUUCAAAGAGAAUAUUUUUCCUUAUCAAACAGAUACAUUGUCUCCUGAGUCAGACAUGUUUGAGUUAAAUAGCUCAGAAUUGAGUCAUGUAUAUUCAAAUGAGGAUGUGGUGUUCGAUACAACAGUGGUUGAACCAUCUGUCUGUGGUAUUGAACCACCCGAGGUUGAUGCAGUUCCUGAUGUUGUCACUGCAGUCACAGAGGAUAGUGAUUCACUAUAUGAAGGGAAUCCAAUCUCAUCACCAGAUAUACAACCUGUCAUUAUUCCAUAAACACAUGUCAGACCUCCCAGAAACAUCAAACCACCUAGUUGGCUUGAUGACUACAUUACUAAUCCUAAGAAAUCUGCCAAUUGUACAUAUCCCAUCUCAAAUUACCUUCAAUAUUCUCAUCUGUCAGCAGCUUACCAAGCCUAUUUAGGUACUUUUUCUCAACCAGUUGAGCCUAAAUCCUUCAAGGAAGCAUCUUUAGAUGACAGGUGGGUCGCAGCUAUGAGUGAUGAAAUUGCUGCCCUUGAGAGCAAUCACACCUGGGAUAUAGUCGAUUUGCCACCAGGUAAACAAGCCAUUGGUUCUAAGUGGGUAUUCAAGAUCAAACACAAUGCUGAUGGAUCUAUAGACAAGUACAAGGCAAGGUUGGUAGCUAAGGGGUACAAUCAAAAGGAGGGGUUAGACUAUCAUGAGACUUUCUCACCAGUUGCCAAAAUGGUAACAGUGAGAACUCUCAUUACAAUUGCAGCUUCCAAAGAUUGGCCUCUCAUUCAGAUGGAUGUUAACAAUGCAUUCCUACAAGGUGAUUUAUAUGAAGAGGUUUAUAUGGCUUUGCCACAAGGGUUUCACAGACAGGGGGAGACUAAAGUAUGCAAACUGACCAAGUCUUUAUAUGGAUUAAAGCAGGCCUCUAGACAAUGGAAUAUUAAAUUGUCUACUGCUCUACUGGAAACAGGCUAUGUUCAGAAUUCACAUGAUCAUUCCUUGUUCACAAAACAUUCAGGAGAUGAUAUAGUGAUGAUCCUUGUAUAUGUUGAUGAUUUGUUAAUUACAGGAAACAGUCAAAGUUUGAUUGAGGAUGCUCAAAAGACUCUACACAACAAAUUUAAAGUGAAAGACUUGGGGCAACUUAGAUACUUCCUAGGAAUUGAGAUAUUGAGAUCAGAUAAGGGAAUCUUACUCAAUCAGAGAAAGUACACCUUGGAACUGCUGUCCACAGUGGGGUUAGGUGGUGCUAAGCCAGUUUUUACUCCUAUGGAGAUGAACACAAAGCUUACUACAAUAGAGUAUGACUCAAUGGUUGGAAAUAAAGAUGAUCCUGUACUAACUGAUGUACAUAGCUAUCAACAGUUGAUAGGGAAGCUGAUUUACUUAACAAUCACCAGGCCAGACAUUUGUUUUGCAGUACAGGUCCUAAGUCAAUUUAUGCAACAUCCCAAGAAGUCACAUUGGGAUGCAGCACUAAGAGUCCUUAGAUACCUGAAGGGAUCACCAGGACAAGGAGUAUUAUUGAAGAAAGGACCAAUUACAAACUUGACAGCCUUCUGUGAUUCAGACUGGGCUGCAUGCCCCAAUACUAGGAGAUCAGUAACAGGAUAUGUUAUUAUGCUUGGAGAGUCUAUGGUCUCAUGGAAAUCAAAGAAGCAACAUACAGUGAGUAGGAGCUCAGCUGAGGCUGAGUACAGAAGUAUGGCAGGGGCAGUAUCAGAAAUUAUUUGGUUAGUUGGUUUACUGAAAGAUCUGAAAAUAGAUGUCACUACUCCAGUCAGGUUGUGUUGUGAUAGCAAAGCAGCUAUGCAAAUUGCUUCAAACCCAAUCUUUCAUGAAAGGACUAAGCAUAUUGAAAUAGAUUGUCAUUUUGUGAGAGAGAAGCUCAAAGAUGGCCUAAUCAAACCAGAGUUUGUUGGCACUAAAUCUCAGUUGGCAGACUUGCUUACAAAAGGCUUAGGAACAGUACAACAUCAUUUUCUUCUGUCCAAGUUAGGAGUUCUUGAUGUUUUCCAUCCUAGCUUGAGGGGGAGUAUUAAGUCUUAAGAAGUCAUUAAGUCGGUUAGUUAGCUCAUUAAUUGAAUAGUCAGUUAGUUAGUUAUUAAAAUCUGUUGUAACUAACUACACUGCUUGUAACUAACUACACUGCAGAAAGCCAGCUAAGGCAUCGUGUAUAAAUAGACAUUCAAUUGUCAUUGUUGACACAAGAAAUAAAAUUCCUUUCUAUCCUUUGUUCAAAGUGCUCUCAAUUCAAUUGUUCAUCAUCUGUGAUUGAUGAAAGUUAACAUCUUCUAUUCAUUGUAGAGGGGGGGAUUUUUUUUUUUGGAGUUGAAAAUUUUAGAAAAAGAAACAUUGAGAAGUAGCGAGAAAGCAAGAAGAAAAUAUUGGAGAAAAGUGGGGAGUUUUUCUUGAGCGAUUUUUACACUUGAGAAAUUUGGAAUACAUUUUAGUUUUUGGUUUGUAAGAGCCUUUGCUCGAAGUCAGUUCGGAUAUCCCGAUUGUUUGCUCGAUUUUUUGAAGUGGUGUAAGAGGUCGCCGCUCGUUUCGGCUCGUUCUGUCUCGGCUUCGUUGCACCUUUAAAGGUAACACCUCUUUCUUUGUAUGAUUUUUCUUCCUUUAUAUUUUAAGAUGGUGUUUUACUUGUAUCCUGGAAGUUUGCUUCCUGCUGAUAGUUAUUAAGUUCUUGACGUUCUGAUACACCUUAGUUGCGAUACUCUAGUUAUUUCGAGUAUCGUUUUCGAUCUUGUUGAUUCGUGCCUAGAUUUGCUGCUUCUUUGUUGGUUUUAUUUAAGGGUGUUUCACUAAUCUUUUCUUGAAUUUAUUGGUUUGAAUUCCACCGAGCAUGUAUGCUUCGUUUCACUCGUUCAUUAACGUCAGCAUCUGUAGGCUCUCCCUUUGCUGCUUGCCUUUGCUUAACCUGUUCAACAAGUAUGUUUGUCCAGUUUAGCGAUUGAUUGAGAGUGUUCAAUGUCUAUUGCUGUUUUUGAAGUAAAAUUGCAGCUUUGCAUCGGGUUAUUUAAGUAUCGGCUAAUCGUCCUAUGUUUUUGAGGCAUAGUAAUUAAUUUUCUUGCAUGUUGCCGCUAAUUAAAAUUGCAAUGGCUCUUCUAUCUUUGUCUAAAUCUAAAGAUGUCUCCUGAUGUUGGCUCGCCAUCUAUCUUGGCCAUUUACGUGUUUCUUUGCUUAAUAAUGCCCCUUUUCUCUGCAUUUUUCUUGUAUUUAUUCAUGUCUACUCGUGUUUGUGUCCGGCAUGCUCUUUAUCCCUUAAUGAUCUCAUCACUGGCUCCCCAACUUGUUUGGAAUUUGAUCCCGCCAUCAGUAAUUAAUUUUGUUUUCUGUACUGAAAGUCCCGGGUGACAAUUACUUAAGAAUGUGGAGAAUGACAGCCUUUAUUGUGCUAUUAGUCUCCUCGUCUGCAAUAAGUUGAUUUUUUCAGCUAAAAGUAGUAUUGUUGAGAUAAAUAUUUAACAAAGAUUCCGACUUGUUCAUCUUAUGUCUAAAAAACAAUAAUCAUAUCCCUUGGCUGAUUCACGUGUUUCCCGAAGUGUGCUAAGUAAUGAGUUGUUUCGGUCUCAAAUGUAUAUCCUGGCUGCCGUAGUUGCCAAAUUGGACUUUAGUAAUUUCAUGUUGUCUUUUUCCUUUGGUCUACAAUUUAAAAUUUAAUUAUUAUUUUUUCUAUGUGUCCACACUUGCCUAUUUCAACUACUGGUAAUUUGCUAAAAAAUGGAGUGAGUCGGAGGCAAUAGUAUAAGCGUGAGGAGUCUGGUCAUCUCGGCUUGCUCUUGGUUUUUCUUUUCAUGUAUUUGCAUUUUUUGUUCACAGCUACUGCUAGUUGCUUGCAAUAUAAAUGGGUUAUGUUCCUUUUGAUACGUUCAUCAUUUAGUGACUAGUUCUGAGAUGUUAUUACUGGUUACUGAUUCUCUUGUUCUUUUCUUCGUUUUGCAUGAAAAAUCUGUCUGAGUUCAUUACGAACUCCUAUCUUCCCUCUUGCAUUUUGGGAGAGCCGCAAAGGCUCAAAAACUCCCUUUAUCGAGUUAGCCGGCCACUAAAAUCAAAGAACAAGUCCCUCAAAUCGACGAACAGGUCCCAAAGGUGGGGAAAUGCGGAAGCGGAGGAUAAUUGAAAAGAUCGGGCCAAAGGCCCACUCUUUAUAUAAAGAGGAUUGUAUUUUUUAUUUAUUAGGCCUAAGUCCAGUUAUUUGCUAUUAUAUUGUUAGAAUUUAGGACAGGUGGCGAGAAUUGGGCCUUGUGGCCCAAAAUGAAAUUAGGCCCAAGUGUUGGUCCAGGCGGACAGAAAAAUCAAACUUGGGCCCGAGUCUCUUUCCCUUUCUAUUUUAUUGUGUUUAUCUACUAGUUAAUAUUUGCCAUUAAUCUUAAGAUUAACAAUUCAAAUCCCCAAAAGACGCUCAUUUUCGCUUUAAAUCUUUUUUACUAAACCAUUCAUCUCUUAACAAGACUUAAAGAAAUAAUUUUAUAAGAUAACCACUCAGAUAAUAUUUAAAUAUUUCCCUUUUUUCCUUUUUAAAAAAAAAAUAGCUCUAACUAUAAAAUAGUUCAAUCAUGUUAUUCGAAUUAAGUUAAAGUAUUUUUAGCCAAAUAAUUAAUUGUCGGAUAACCGCUUAUUAGCGGGGAUUUUGGGUGCUUUCAAAUCCUUUCUGAAAUGCUAAUAUGAACCUCGAACCCCCUUAAAUAUUUUUCAAUUGAUUUCCUGUUUUAAUCAUUUGAAAAUCAGAUUUCUUGAUUUUUCUUAAAAAUUAAGUGGCGACUUUUAAAAACAGUCUUAAAUUAUUUUAAAAUAAAACAGUUAGUGUUACUAUUUGUUAAUCAAAUCCACAAAUAAAAUUAUCUUUAUAUUAUUAAGUUUUAUUUCAAGUAAAAGCAUAAAUAGCUAAAUAAAAAUAUUAACCUAAUUAUUUUUCAAUAAUCAUAAUAAAAUAUAAAAACUAUGACAAUAUUCCAUAGGCUACGUAGUGAUUCCUAGAAAUUUUAGGAAAAUUUUAUUUUAUGUAAUACAUAUUUUAUAAACAUAAUUUAUAUUUAGAUUGUAAUAUUUCAAACUUUAGACUGAUUUUGAGUUUAGACUCUUGUUAUUUUUAAUACUCUAUUUAUUAUUUAUUUUUAAUUAAUUUUUAUUUGGCUCACGGGUUGGCCCCCUAUCCAUAUUUCUCAAGCCCCUCAAAUUGGCAGACUUAUUCAGGCCAGGCUAAAAAAUCACCUUUUUCUUAAAUGGGCUCCAAAAAUCAUAGCCCAACCCUAUCAAAUCACGGGUUAGGCUAGGCCGGCCCAACGGGCCUAGCCCAUAUUGACGGCUCUAUAAACAACUAAUAAAACUAAUUGGAUCAUUCUUACUGCACCAUUGGUCCUAAUCCUAUACCUAUCAUACUGAUAUAGAGGCGAAUUCAGAACUUAAAAUUUAUGAAUUCUUAUAAAAAAAAAACUAAAAUUUAUGAACGAUAUAAUUGAGUUCAUAAUCAAAUUAUACUAAAUACUUAAUGAUUUUCUUAGUACAUAUAAAUAAUAUGAAUAAAAUCUAUUGAGUUCACACUAACCUCUCUAUAGUGUGGCAGGUAAAAUCAAUAAUUUUGAUCCAAAUUGUACUUUGUAUUUAUGAUAAUAAAUUUGUUUGUUAUGUGUAAAAAAAUAUUCGGAACCCAAUCCGACCAGUAAACGCCAGUAGUAGUCAUAGUAUUUGGAACAAAGAAAAGCAAGGGAAUAACAAACCAUAUCUUCUGCUCCAACUUCAUUUUCUUAUAGUAUUUUUGGAGGGAAAAAAGGGAAUACAAAUUAAAUAUUAUCAGAAUGCCAACCAAAUACUGACAUUGUGCUCUAUCUUUACUGUGGAAAAAAAUUAAAUGUAAUUUAUUUAUGCAGUUUUUUAAUCUUCCAGGGGUCCCAUUUUUCUAUAGAUUGAAUUAUCUUUAAUAUUUUAUGACAAAAUACUGUAAAGUGGUGUAUAGUGGCAUAUAUAUAUACCAUUUGUAUAUUCCUCAAAAUCAUGAUAAUACCAUUUGUUUCUAACUUUUUAAUUGUACUAAUUGAAUAGAUUAACUGUACAAUAUACUUUUGUUUAGUUCAAAAUUUUCCUCUUUGUACUUUAAGCUUUGGUGUCUAUUGUUUUCCACAUUUUAUGAGGUGUUAGGACUAGCAAAAGGCAUAAUACAUAAACAUACAUUCAAACUAGGUCUUAGUUAGAGUGAUCAUUUAGACACCUCCAAAAUUUAUGUAUCACGUCAGUAUAGGGUGUCCACGAGACACAUUAAGGAUGAGUUGGAGUGUUUAGCUGUUAGUUGAGAUGUCUAGAUGUACAUUCUCAAUUAGUUACGGUUGCGAAAUUUUAAUUGGAUGACAAAACUAGGAUCGAAGUUUCGAGUGUUUGGCAUCUGACAGAUGAAAAAAAAAAUCUGAAAUUUAAGAACAAACUUUUUCUUACAUAACGAACACAUGAAAAUAAGUAAGAAACGUACUUAUUCUCCGGAAAAACAUUUUCCAAUAAGACAUUUUAGAGGCAUUGUUAUCAUUUGGUAGAUCCAGGUCCAUGACCUAUUUCUAUGGAACACAUUUUCCAUGGUACUGAACACACUCUCAGAACUUUGCUCGUUGAUAUCCACUAAUACGGACCUCACUUGUAGGAUUUCAUUGGAUAUGUUGUCGUUGUUUGAGUUGAUAUGCCCUGCUGAAAGUCUUUGUGGGUAGGAGGGAGUAUAAGAAUGAUCCACAACUCCCGGCAACGAUGUAACAUUACCAUGUUGGUCCAAGUAUAACAAAUGGAUCCCUAUUUUCUUUACUGUGCCUCUGCCAGUUUCAUUCUCUACUGUUAUCUGUUCCCCGCCUUUGAUAUUCAGGCCUUUAAAAGGUGUAUCAUUUGAGUAAGAGAAGUAAUAUACAUAUGAUACUUCGUGACUGUCAGAUCUAUCACAAGGCCAAAUCCAUGAAAAACCUGAACGCUUUAUAUGGGCAACAGUAACAGCGAAGUGUAUAAGCUCAUGUACAUCGCAAAGGCGGCAAACAAACCAGAGAACCAUUCCUAAGAACUUGUUAUUAUGUACUGUGGGCAUAGUCAAACAGAUAGAUGUAGCUGUUACUUUAUUGCUGCACCAAUCUGGAAUCUCAUUGCUUUCGUGAUUAAUUUGUAAUGACAGCUUCAUCAGACAAAUUAAGACGCAAUUAGAUCAUUAAUUAUUAAUAUGAUACGAGAGAUAGAUCAUUAAUUAUUAAUAUGAUACUAACCUCAUACCGUUGAUGUUUUCUAGACGGAAUUGAUAGAGCAUGGGCACUAAAGAAGCCUUCAUUGAAUGGAUUCUGCAGAAGAGUACAAUUAAUCAUGCCCAUCUUCUCUAUUGAAGGGAGGUUGUCCAACCCUGUAAUCUUGACCAGUUUUUGGCAAUUCCUAAGUUCAAGAGUUGUAAGGUACUUUAAAUUUGAUAUUGACGGGAGUGUUUGAAGGUUCUCACAAUCAUUCAAAUGCAAGGAACUCAACCGUGGUAACUUGGAAAAAUCAAAGGGUAGAUUGAGGAAACUGUUGCCGCUCAAAUCUAAAUCAUGUAAGUUGGAUAAACUCCCAAUAUCCCUAGGAACAUCAGCCUCCGAGAAACCACAAUAUCGAAGGCUUAACAUCGUAAUAAAAAUUGGCAAGAAUUCUACGCAGCGGACUCUUCUUUGAGAAAACCUCCUUUUGGUCUCCAAGUAUUGACCUCCUAAUUCCAAAAUUAUAAGAUUUCCUAGCAUUUCAACAGAUCCAGGCAAUUCUUUUAUACCUGUUUCACCUGCAUUAAGAAUACUUAGGCUUUGCAUAUCUCCAAUGUCAACUGGCAGUGUUUGUAAAGAUAAGCAGUCAUUAAUGUACAAGUAUUGAAGGGAUUUUAGCUGGCAUAUGCUGCUCGGAAGAUCCGUAAUCUUUUUGCAACCAUUCAAUUUAAGAUCAGUUAGUCUGUCCAAAUUUCCUAUUGAUGGAUGAAUCUCCUUUAGACUUGAGCAAUUCUCAAGCCACAAAGUCUUGAGACUUCGUGAACCGUUGAAGUUUGGAGUUUUUCUAAGGCUCUUGCAAUCAGAGAGAUCCAGCUUUUUCAAAUUUCUACAAUACUAAAAGUAAACAAAAUAUUGUUUCAAUUAAGAUUUUCUUUCUCUUAAACAUUACACAUAAAAUUGCAGAAUUGAGUAACGGACCUGCAAAUUCAAACCAAAUUCUUGGAUAUUGCUCCCUUUCAUAUUCAGAAAUACAAGUUUCUCAGAUGGAAAAUUUGACGGUAUACAUUUUAAAGGACAUCCUUUCCAAGACAGCCAUCUGAGCUCCUUGGACAAUAGCUCAAAAUCUCCACUAAUAUGUAAGUCAUCAAUUUUAAGCACCCUAAGAUAUUUCAUUUUCUGAAAUGCUUUGGUGCUCACCUUCACACCCUUUAAUGCCUGUCGUUCUACCACCAGUAUUUCUACAUUUUCAGAACCCUGCAGUUUAGUAAAAAGAAAAGUACUAUAAGACCAUGUUUAAGUAUGAUAAAUUAAGAAAGAGAAAUGCUUUAUACAAAUUGAAGGUCAAACAAAGAGAAUAAAUUAUCUACCAAUAAAA
rnacentral:lncRNA from 1 species